rnacentral:lncRNA from 1 species
GCCGAAUCUCAACCUCUUUGCUGCUCCUCUUUUCGAAUAGCUUCAUUCUAACCCACUGUAACUUUAGGGGUAUAGAAAUUGUCGCUUCAAUCUGCUCCACUGCAACUUUAGGGAGAUAAGAUUAGUAGCUUAUAGCUUUAGUGUGUUCCACUACAACUUCAGGGAAAUAGAAGUUGCUAUAGUAGAUUUAAUCUGAUCCACUGCAACUUCAGAGGUAUAAGAUUUGUCGCUUCAAGCUACUUCACUGCAACUUCAGGGAGAUAAGGCCUGUAACUUCAAUCUGCUCCACUGCAACUUCAGAGAGAUAAGCUUCAUUACCUUCAAUCUGCUCCACUACCACUUUAGGGAGAUAAGAUUUGUUACUUUAAUCUGCUCCACUGCAACUUUAGGGAGAUAAGAUUUAUAACUUGUAGCUUUAAUCUAUUCCACUACAACUUUAGGGAAAUGAGAUUAGCUAUCUUCAAUCUACUCUACUUCAACUUCAGAGAAAUAAGAUUUGUAGCUUUAACUUCCUCCAAUGCAACUUCAGGGAGAUGAAAUUUGUGACUUUAAUCUUUUCCACUGCCACUUCAGAAGCAUAGGAUUUGUGACUUGUAACUUUAAUCUAUUCCACUGUAACUUUAGGGAAAUAAGAUUCGCAUCUUCAACCUGCUCCAUUGCAACUUCAGGGAGAUAAGAUUUAUAGCUUUAAUCUACACUACUGUAACUUCAGAGAGAUAAGAUUUACUAUCUUCAAUCUUUUCCAUUGCAACUUCAAGCAAAUAAGAUAUAUAGCUUUAAUCUGCUCUACUCCAACUUCAGAGAGAUAAGAUUUGCUAUCUUCAAUCUUUUCCACUGCAACUUCAGGGAGAUAAGAUUUUCUAUCUUCAAUCUUUUCCACUGCAACUUCAGAUAGAUAAGAUUUAUAAUUUUAAUCUGCUAUACUGCAACUUCAGAGAGAUAAGAUUUGAUAUCUUCAAUCUGUUCCACUGCAGCUUCAGGGAGAUAAGAUUUAUAUCUUCAAUCUACCCCACUGCCACUUCAGGGAGAUAAGAUUUGUAACUUGUAGCUUUAAUCUGUUCCACUGCAACUUCAGGGAAAUAAGAUUCGCUAUCUUUAAUCUGCUCCACUGCAACUUCAGGGAGAUAAGACUUGUAUCUUUAAUAUACUCUACUGCAACUUCAGGGAGAUGAAAUUCGUGACUUUAAAAUUUUCCACUAGAACUUCAGGGAGAUAAGAUUCGUCACGGUAACCUCAAUUCAUCCCACUGCAACUUCAAGGGUAUAAGAUCUGUGGUUACUCUGGUCUGUUACACCAUUCUCUAAGGAACAUAACUUGUAGAAUCCAUUUUAUGGGCCUAUUUAUGCUAAUCGAUUAGGAUGUAAUGAUCAAAAUGCAGCAAAUGCUCCUAACUAGAUGUGUAUGAAAGAUAUUUGUAUGAAUGCAGAAUGUCAUUUUUCGAGGAUGAUCCCCUUUUAAUGCUUAGGUUGACAUUACUUGUUUUUCAUCAAGGUUUUAUCACUGCAUAUUACCUUGUCUUCUUGUUCAGCUGGUAUUUUGACAGAAAACCCGAGAAAAUAAUCAUAAUUUAGACUAUUAUUUCCCAAAUGUUUCCAACUCUUAAAUUUGGCUAGUUCUGAUUAGUGGUCCUGUUUCGAGUCCUUGUCCUAUUUAGAAAACUUUUCGAGAAAUAUGCAGAACUCCUUUUACUUGAAUAUUAUUAGUCCAUUAAUCAUUAUUUCAAAGUAAAAAUGCUUGAAAAGGAUUGUAACAAUAGACAGGAUUGAAAUUUAUUAGGAGCAGGGCUCGAAAUGAAUGGAUUAAUCAAAUUAGCAAAUAUUGCUAAAAUAAAAAAUAAGUAAGAUGAAAAUAGGUGCCCCAGAUAUCAUGGCAUGAGCUUCUUCGCACUAACUUCUCGAGAACCUUUUGAACUUUAUAUGUGCUUAGAAGACCUAGAGUACUUUGUUGAUGCCCUAAGAUGUAGCAUCCCUCCUUCUUGUUAAUUCGAAGAAGACAAGACUACCACAUACCCCAUCUUUGAUCAAAAUUUGAAUUGCCUUUUACAGGGUUUUCAACUCAAAACUUAUUUGGUCUCAAGGCGCCCUUUUACGAGUUUUCGCCUUGGCCUUUUCUCUUUUUACAGGAUUAGGCAGGUUCUUGCAAUCCAUCUUGGUCAAAAUCAGCGCUCUCCUAGAAAAGGCCUCUUUUACCACAUAAGGUUCUUCCUAGUUUAGUAUCCAAUUUCCUCUGAAGUCCUUUUGUAUGGGAAUGAACUUUUUCAACACCAGGUCUCCCUUAUAGAAUUCUCUGGGGCAAACUUUUUUGUCAUAAGCUCGCAUGUAACACCCUAAAAUUUUUAAUUUUAUUAUUGUGAAAAUAUGACAAAAAUAUCUGUCAGCUUUAGUGGUUAUGUGUUCUAGGAGUGUUUGGAAGGUCCUAAUUCGAGCUUUCGCUUGGGAAAAUUUUGGUAUUUUGAAUGAAUUAAGCCUUACUCUCGUUCAGUAGGCUUUUAUUUGAAUGUGGGGUAAAUUACAUCAGAAUGGGUCUGCUGGUCUGGUGGUUAAAUGGUGUGUUAUUAUGGUGAAGGUCUUGUGUUCAAAUCCCUAAGCAGGUAAGGGUAUUAUUUUUUUGCUCACAUUUCGGGAUAGAGUUGUGUAAUAAGGGGAUUCUAAGUAGUGGAUGUGUAGUGGGAAUUAGGGGAGAAGAUUAAGGAAUUUUAGGGGUUGUCGAGAUUUUAUUUUAUUUUUUUCCAUUACCGAAUUUUGACUCUCUUUUCCAAAAAAAUCUACCAUUUAUUCUUCUCCCUCUCCUCUUGUCGAAAUUCUCUGAGUUUUCCAUCUUUCUCUUCUUUUUCUUCUUCUUGAUUUUUCCCUAAUCCAUUUAUUUUCCUUCAUUUUCACACGCAGUUAGUGCUCGCUUAGUUUCGGUAAGUGUUUCUCUUCGUUUCUGUCAUGAAUCUCUUAGCAACUGAAGUGUUAAUGUUUUUCUCUAUGAUUUGGACGUAGGGGGAGGCUCGGACUGGUGAAUUCAGUGUUCUCGUCUUAACAAUAGUUAAACGGAGGGUUAUCGUUGGUGGUAAGUUGGGAUUCUGUUCUGAUAUGGGCCGAAGCCCUAAUGUAUUUCUGAGACUGUAUCUGAAUGGGCUAAGGCCUAAACUGAUUCUGUGAUUGGCACAGGCCCUAGACUGUAUCUAAUUGAAUUCAGUAGAUUAUCUGUAUGCAUGUUUUCUGUGGGGAUUACACACUAAGUUUGCCAAAACUCACUCAUUCUCUGUUUAAUCUAUACAGGUAAUCCCUAGACUUGACAGGUCGGUGUAGCGGAGGACUCGACGGUGGCCACACGUAAAUUUUAGACUAUUUUUCAUUAAUGCCUAGAAUUUAUUACUUAUUUGGGGUUUUUGGUGUAUCUUCUGGAAUAUGGACUGGUUGACUUUAAAUUUGGGACUUUAUAUUUUUUUUAUAGAUUUUUUUAAAACUGCAACUCCACAAAAUACGAGUUUUUUCUAAAAAAUAAGGUUUUUCGUAAAUAGAAAUGAUUUUCCCUAAAUUAAUUGGUUAUAAAAGCUUCCGCUAAGAGACAAUUUUUAAAGCAAAUCAACUAAUUUUUUUCGAAUUAAAUAAAAGCUAAUUUACUGUAACGAUUUUUAAACUCGACAAUCUUGUCUUCAAGUCCUCUUUCCAUGUGAUAUCGCCAGAUUCGUCCAUAACGUCUAGGUCGGGUUUGGGGUGUUACAUCGCAUUAUUCGUUUCUGGUACAACUGACCAUGACGGAUAGCUGUCAACCUCUUCUCUUCAAUUAAGUUCAGCUAAUCAUAUCGGGAUUGGAUCCAUCCUGCUUCAUCCAACUUCAACUCUGCCAAAACUCAAAGAGAAUAAAUCUCGACUUCAAUGGGUAAAAUCACAUUCAUUCCAUAAACUAAAGAGAAAGAUGUUGUCCCGGUGGAGGUCUUGAAAAACAUUCGAUAAGUAUAGAGGGCAAAUAGUAACUUCUCAUACCAAUCUUUAUAAGUCUCAAUCAUUUUUCCCACGAUCUUCUUAAUGUUCUUAUUGGUUGCCUCAACUGCACCAUUCAUUUUUGGGCGAUAAAGUGACGAGUUGUGGUGUUUGAUUUUGAACUGACUGCAGACUUCUGAUAACGUGUUGUUGUUCAAAUUCAAUACAUUAUCAGAUUUGAUCAUUUCUGGCAUUCCAUAUCAACAUAGGAUCUCUUUCUUCAAGAAUUUACUGACUAUCGACUUUGUGACAUUGGCGUAAGAAGUAGCCUUUACCCACUUGGUAAAGUAAUCAAUGACCACAAAGAUGAAUCGAUACUCAUUGGAAGCUUUUGGCAUGAUCGGCCCAAUGAAAUCCAUACCCCACAUAGAGAAAGUCCAUGGAAAAGUCAUAACGUGAAGAGGUAAAGGAGGCAUAUGAAUUUUGUCUCCAUAAAUUUGGCACUUAUGGCAUUUCUUGGCAUAAUUGAUGCAAUCCCCUUCCAUGGUGGACCAAUAAUACCCGAAUCUCAUGAUUUGUCUGGCCAUUGUAAAACCAUUAGCAUAUGUUCUGCAAAUACCCUCAUGGACUUCUUCUAAGAUUUUUUUAGCCUUAACGGCGUCCAUACAUUUUAGCAGUACCUGAUACUUUUUUCUUUUAUAUAGGAUCUCCCCAUCUAAGACAUAGUCAUUGGCCAGUCUCCUCAGCAUCCUUUUUUCAUUCUCGGUCGUCUGAUCAGGAUAUUCACGGUUCUUUACAUAUCGCAAUAUAUCAUGGUACCAAGGAUGGUCACCCUUUUCUUCUUCCUCAAUAUUGUGAUGGUCAUCCUUUUCUUCUUCCUUAAUAUUGUGAUGGUCACCCUUUUCUUCUUCCUCAAUAUUGUGACAAUGGAAUGGAGCCUCAUAAACACUCAUCUCGAUAGGUUUUACAUCCUCUUGUUUGUUCACUUUGACCAUGGAAGCUAAAGUAGCUAAGGCGUCAGCUAUCUAGUUUUCAUCUCGCGGGAGGUAGCAGAAGGUGAUGUCAUCAAACUCCUUAAUUUGUUCAAGGACCAGCCUUCAAUAAUUGGUUAACUUGGGGUUUCUCGUCUCCCAUUCUCCUUUGAGUUGAUAGAUUACUAGUACAGAAUCCCCAUAUACCUCCAGUACUUUGAUCUUGCGUUCUAUGGUCGCACAGAUACCCAUGAUGCAUGCUUCAUAUUCUGGCAUACUAUUUGUGUAAUCAAAAUCCAAUAUACUAGUGAAGGGAUAAUGAUCUCCGUUUGGGGAUACCAGGAUUACCUCGAUUCCAUUACCCAUAGCGUUUGAAGCUCCGCCAAAAUUUAGUUUCCAAGGAUAUCCUUUUAGAGCAUUUUCUUCAGUGGCUGCAACAUACAUCAAAUCUCCAUUCAGGAAAUCAAAGUUUAAAGGCUCGUAAUCUUCUAGAGCUCUACUGGCUAGAAAAUCUGCUACUGCACUCCCUUUUACGCCUUCUGGUUUACAUAGACUAUAUCACAUACUUUAAAGGGUCUAUUUUUGAGAUGAGCCAAGUCGUGUGGUACAACAUGUAUUGUCUCAGGCUUUGGGUUGUCCAAAUUAAGGUGCAACACAACUUCUCAAUUGGCGAAUAUAUUGUCUCACAUUCAGUGAAUUUCUUACUGAGGUAGUAUAUUGCUCUUUCUUUUCUUCUUGACUCGUCAUAUUGGCCAAGCACGCAUCACAUAGAAUUCUCAAAUACUUCCAAGUACAGUAUCAGUGGCUUAUCUGGACUAGGUGGUGUCAGUACUGGGGCAUUGGACAGGUAAUGUUUGACUUUGUCAAAGGUUUUCUAGCACUCCUCGUCUCAUACAUCUGAAUUGUGUUUCUUAAGGAGAUGGAAUAUGGGGUCACAUUUCUCAAUUAGUUGUGAAAUGAACCGGACGAUGUAAUUUAAUCUUCUUAGGAACCCUUAACCUUCUUUUUGAGUGUGCGAUGGAGGCAACUCUUGUAUAGCCUUGACAUUGUCGGGGUCGAUCAAAAUUCCCUUUUCACUGACUACGAAUCCUAGCAAUUUCCCUUGACUUUAUCCGGUUUGAAUUUUUUCAACCUCAAGAACAAUUUCCUCAGGACUUGUAUAUGCUUCUUUUCUAUUUGGGAUUUCGCGAUCAUAUUAUCGACAUAAACCUCAAUUUUUUUGUACAUCAUAUCAUGAAACAGGGUUACCAUGGCUCUUUGAUACGUCUUUCUCGUAUUUUUCAGUCUAAAUGACAUCACCUUAUAGCAAAAUGUUCCCCACAUAGCUACGAAUGUGGUCUUUUUCAUAUUUUUAAGAUGCAUCUUUUUCUGGUUGUAUCCCAAGAAGUCAACCAUGAAGGAGAACAGUGUGUAACUUAUCGUGUUGUCCACUAAUGUGUCAAUGUGAGGCAAUGGGAAAUUGUUUUCUGGGCUAGCUCUGUUUAGAUCUCUGCAGUCUACACACAUUCGUGCUUUCCCAUCUUUCUUAGGGAUGGGGACUAUAUUAGCUAACCAUUCUGAGUAUUUAACCACUUGCAAGAAACUAACAUCUAAUUACUUCUUGACAUUUUCUUUUAUUUUUAGCAAGACGUCAAGCCUCAUCCUUCGGAGCUUCUAUUGAACUGGCUUGCACUCUUCCUUUAUGGGGAGUUGGGGUAUCAUGAUAUCAGUAUUUAAUCCAAGCAUAUCUUAAUACAACCAUACGAAAAUAUCUUUAAAUUCUUGGAGUAACUCAAUGAGGUCUCGCUUUGUCUCUGCGGUGAUAUAAGCUCCGAUUUUUACCUAUUUCUUUCCUCUUAAGCUUAUAAUUUUUACUGAUUCUUUGUAAGGUAGGAUAUGUUUCUCAUCUUAUUCUACCAUCUUUAACAAAUCAAAAUAUAAGCUACAGUCUCGAUUAUCUUUAAAAUCUUGAGGUUCCUCUAGACACAUAUCUUGCUUAAAAGGAGACUCUAAGUCAGCAGUAGCGUUGCUCAUAUCAUUGAUAUCUGGAGACUUGUUAUAAGAAUAAGGGAAGACCCAAAGCACAAAAUAAUCUAAGAAUAAUUAUCUGUGUGGUAUGAGUAUAAAUGAAAUGGAAAGAAUAAAAGAGUAUUUUCUCAAAAUGAGACACAAAGAUGCAUUUUAUUAAAAUAAAGAUGUUGAACAUAUGCCUUUUUCAUAAGAGGAUUCUUACUGCUCUCAGGCUUAGAGCAAUAAGUGUGUUUUGAACAUUACUCUGAAUUAGUUCUAAAGAUUACAGGGAUCUCUUCCGUAGUCCAAUUGCUCAAAACUCUCCUAGGUACGUAAGGGCAAAUACCUGAUAAAUUCUCUUUCCCAAUUCCUUCUUCGGCUAUGGCGUUGAUGUUCAGAUUUCUCAACAUUCUUUUCGAGCUUUUUACCUCUUUAAAGAAUUUCAAUUCUUUGUUAUCCAUUAGACUUUGCACUAAAGUUUUGAAUUCAGCACACUCUUGGAUUUCAUGAUCUUCUUCAGCGUGGAACUCACAGUAACUCCUCAUCCCCUUGGGUAUCUCCUCUGAAUCUUGAAUAAUUAACCACAUGUCUAUCAUUUGUUUCAAAACCCAUUUCAGUAGGGUUUUUUACUUCUGCAACAUUGAUUUUGGUUCUCUUUCCUUCACUCUCAAUUAUUGCAUUUACCCCCAGGUUUGAAUGACUGGGUAACGAUUUUCCUGCCACAUUAGGUCCCGAUAGAUUGUCAAACUUCACGAUGUCCAUCUUGAUGAACCUUUUAAUCAACUUUUUGAACGCGGUGUAGUUCUCAAUUGAAUGUCAUGUUAUUCCUGCGCAGUACUCGCAUUGAGCAUUCGCAUCAUACCAUUUCGGGAACGGAGGUUGCAUGGGUUUCAAGUAGAAUGGGGAUACUGCAUGUGCAUCAAACAGAUUCUAAUAUAGCUCCCUAUAUGUCAUCGGGAUGGGUGUGAACUGGAGUCUUUCUGUGUUUGGCCUCGAGUUAAAUUCUUGCAUUGAAGGGUCUUCAUGGUUGGUUGUUAUGGUCCUUGGUUGGCCUACAGUGACCAGCUUUAAAUAGUUCUUGUUAUACACAUUUGCGGUGUUCACUUCAUUUUCUUUCCUACUCGGGGCUGAUCUUUUAGCGCUUUUCCCUACGUCUAUUUUCUCCCUUCUUACUGCAUUUUCAAUCAUCCCACGGACAUUACUAUCCUGAGAAGCUCUUGGUGGCACUUCCCAACAUAUGGUUAAUAAACGGGGCUUUCAAUGUAUUUAUAAAAAGCAUUGUCAUCUCUUUCUCUAGAAGAGGUGGUUGGACUUGUGUUGCCACAUCUCUUCAUCUUUGAGCAUACUGCUUGAAGCUCUUAUUUUGUUUCUUUUCAAUAUUUUACAGUGUAGUUCUAUCAGGUGUCAUAUAGAUCACAUGGUUGUAUUGUUUCAUGAAAGUCUGUGCCAAGUCUUUCCAUGAGUUGAAUUUAGCACGGCUCAACUAGUUGUACCACUUGGCAGCUGACCUGAUCAGACUAUCCUGAAAGCAGUAGAUUAACAAUUGGUCAUUAUUGAUGUAUCUCGUCAUUCUUCGACAAAACAUUGUAACAUGAGCUUCAGGACAACUAGUCUCGUUAUACUUUUUGAAAUAUGGAGCCUUGAAUUUUGGUGGGAGUACUAGAUCUAGGACUAAACUUAAAUCUUUAGCAUCAACCUCGUAAUGGUAUUCAGCGUUCUUCAUAGCUCUGAAUUUUUCUUCCAACCACCUGCAUUGAUCUUCCUGUUCUUUUGGCAGUUCUACCCUCGUUUUAUCUAUUUCUGCUAUGUCGUCCAAAUUAGGAACAACUGGGUUGGUCGGGUUAUCCCCGGGAUUAGAAUCUGAACUUGUUAGACAGUUUACUGGUGCUGAGGUACCUGUUUGAUAUUGUUGAGGUUUGAUGCUAAUGGGUACCCUUCGUGGGUACGCAUCUGGCUCAGCCUAGACAUUUAUCGAGGUAAAGCCUAGAGGGUAGGUAGGGUCUUCAUUAUCAUCCCUCGAAUUAACCACAGUACUUUUCUAUUUUUCAAUUCCUCCUGCCAGUAGCUGUAUUCACUAGUUUAUCAUACUUCGUUGGGAUUCUUGUAUUUCUUCCCUCAUGUCUUGUUAUACUUUCGCUAAUUGUUCCUGCAGCCACGCUUGCAGCUAAUCCUGCAUGUCCUUCUGAAUUUGUUCUAAUCUCUCUAACCUUUAAUCCAUUGUUUUGGUUUUACCGCAGGUACCAUAACGAUAUUCAGUUGGUAGAUUUUUAUUGGUUUCCAGGGUAACUGUCAUUACUUCGAUUAAUUAAGGUCUUUUUGUGAAAUUUAAUGCAUAUGAUGAAAUGUAAUGCACAUGAAUGAAUGCAAAAAGAGGCGUUGAUUCUGAUCCAAUUCUAUUAGAACAACUUUACUAGAAAACAAAUAUCUUUACAUAAAAUGGAUAUUUACAUAUACGACCUUACCCUAAUAUUCAAAGCGAAGACAUCGACCCUUUCCUUCAUAUUCAGAUGUUAAGAUCAAAUCCCGUAAACUUUUUCAAUGGAUGCCUUUACUAUCUCCUUUUUGCUUAAUCCGGGCUGUGACCCAUUACUCACUCAUCUUCGUGAUGCUCAUUAGCUUCUUUAAGAAAGUCGAGACGUUGGCGGCUCUAGAAUAAGCUUUGUCGGCUUGAAUCUUCAGGCAACGAAGCAAAGUUGUAUACUCUUCUAUGGUGGGUAUCAAGUCUACCUUUCCAAAAGUAAAGCAGCUAUAGACGGGAUUCCAAUAUUGGGCCAAAGCUCGAAAUAAGUGUUUAUCCAAUUUGAUAUCGAGUAGAUAACGCAAGUCACCAUAGUUACAGUAGAAUAAUUGUCUGAUUUCGUCAUCCAAUUAGUCUCAUACCUCUUCUAACUCUUGGAGAUUAUUCUGAGUCACACCGAUGCGAGUGAAAUCCUAUAUAUCUUUUCGUCUGGCUGUCACCCUUCUCUUGCUGUGUCUUCUCGAACCAUAUUCGGAUGGCUAAAUUGUCUUCCACUUUAUCAAGAAAUCUCUUUUCUAUGACAAGCUCUCUAUUUAGCAACUAAACGUGAAUCAACACUCCUUUUCUAUGAUGAAAAUGCAUUGCAAUCAUAACCAAAACAAAACAAAACAAGUUAGUGAAUUUCAUACAAAGCUAGAAUUUAAAGCAAGCAAGGAAUAAUAAAUAGAACACCUAUUCGGGUGGCCACUAGGGUUUAGUAUGGUUCUACCUAGGGUAGGCUUUUAGGGCUCAUUAUAUGCGUUUCAGUUCUAAAGUAAGGGUACCUAAGUCGGCGGAUUCCUCGAUCUUCACCAUUAUAGGCUCAUACGGACUGAGUACAAUUUAGGGGAAUACAUUUCCCUAUGGCUAUACGGAGAUGAAGAUCUCACAAAGACAUAGGUACGGAUGUAUCCUGAAAGUAUUUCACUAUCCUAUACGGAGGUGAAGACCUCACGAAGGAAUAGUUUCUCACUCUCGCUUAAAAAGGGUAAAAUUGAACUGUUAUGCAAUGCAAUAUGCGGAAACAUAUUAAGAGAUUUGAACCAGAAAAGCAAACAUUCAUUAUGUAGCAAAAUGAUAAAGACCUCAAAAAUGAAGGAUGAAAUGCAAUGAAGGGAUCGUAAAUUUAAACCAAAUUAUCAAUUUUCGACAAAAAGACCAAAAGUAAUCAACUCGCAGCUUGACUCUCUUACUAUUUCCCCGAUGGAGUCGUCAAGCUGUUGAAACCUUUUUUAAAUCGAUUUUUUAUUUCAAAAUUAAAAUAGGAGUCUCCACCAAUCAUUUUUGAGAGGUGUGAUCGGGUCACCUCGUAAUUUGAUCAUUUUAAUAAGAGGUUUGAUUUAUUAAAAUAAUGUUUUUCAGUCUACAAAAAUCCAGAAAAUGGGUUCCGGAGUCCGUUACGCACGAGGAAGGAUUAGCACCCUCAUUACGCCCAAAAUUGGUACUUAGUUGAUUACUUGGUGUCUUUAGUAUCGAAAAUUAAAAAUUUGAAGAGAUUUUAAAAUACGAUCUUUUAUUAAAACAUUACUUAACUAAGUUCAUUUUUACGAAAAGGGGUUUAUUUCAAGUUAAUUGAGAAAAAGAAUCACAUUCCAUAAGUUAGAACACAAUGCCUUAAAUACUCGAGAACGAGAAUAAACAUCGAUUACUCAAAUCUCAUUUUUGUUUAAAAAGUAAAUAUUCGACCAUCUCAGUUUUAGAAGGAAGUCAUAUUCCGUAAGUUAGGAACACGACUUUUCUAAUUCCAAAAAUAAUGAACGUCGUUUCGGUUUAAAAAUUUUCUUUUUAUUCAUCGUACAAAAAAGGAUCAUGAUGCUUAUAGAGACGGGCAUUUUAACUUAUUCGGGCAUAAUAUACAAAUGAAUAAAUACUUAAGCCUAAUGUAUGAUAUAACGAUAAUAAGAUAGUUUAAAAUAAUUAUAUGGGUAAGAUGAUAAACAAUGGGUGAAUAAAAGAAUACUUUAAUACUAAUAAUAUAAUUAUAACAAUAAUAAGAAUAUUAUUUUGUGGUAUUAAUAAUAAAAUAAAUAAAGUAAUACAAAUAAAAAAAUAAAAAUGCUAUAUGCCUCAUGACGAAUAUAAACAUAAAUAAUGUGAAUAUGAUAAAGAAAUGAUAAAAUAGUAAAAAACGAGAUAAAAAAUAUAAUAAUGAAUAAGUAAAAAUGUAAAAAUAGAAAAAUGUAACAAUCUUACUUUAAAUAUAUAAAAAGCAAAUAAUAAAUAAAUGGAUAAAUAAAUAAAUAAUAGUAGUAGUAAUGAAUAUAAGAAUAAAAUAAUACAUAAACAUUAUAAAAAAAAAGAGAGUAAAUGAUAAUAAAUAGAUAAAUAAAUAAAUAAAUAUAUAUAAAAUAUAUUAAGGGUUGAAAUUAAAUGAAUGAGGAUUAAGUUGCAAUUUAGACGAAAUUUAGGGAUAGAUUUUAAAAUUUAAAAAAAAAAGGCAGAAUGAAGGACUAAAAUAAAACGUGCGCAAAGGAAGAGGGACUAACUGGGAAAUUAUUCCCUGUUCCUAAAACAACGUCGUUCCUCAAAGGACUAAAAUGAAAUAAAAAUAAAAUUAUAGGGUAUAAAUUAAAAACAAAAAAGGACGGGAUUGAAAAAUAUUUUAAACGUGGAAAGCCUAGGACCGCAAUUAGACCGCUUAAUGAAAACACAAGAAUCCUUGGAUGCUUUUGGGUCUGGUCGUGGGUCGUGUCAAAGCGACACUGUUUCAGGUGUUCACCUUUUAAGAUGGUCCAAGGACCAAAUUGAAAAUAAAAUAAAAAUAGGUGACAAAAUCAAAAAAAUAAAAAAAAUAGAUAGGCCCAUAUUGAAGCAAAUCGCAAAAGCUGAAGGACUAAAGGUGAAAAUAGCCAUUUUGUCCAAAAACACACGGAUCUUAGGGUUCUUGGGUUGGAUCUCGGGUCAAAAGUCAAAACGAUGCCGUUUUAAGGCUAUUGAAAUCAGCCCUAAACGACGUCGUUUUACAUGGCCUAUAAAAGCUAAAAUUUUUUUAAAAAUUUUCAUUCUGUCCUCAUUUAAAAAAAAUUUUAUGAGAGCUCUCUUAGUCUCUCUCGCCCUUUUUGAGCUCUGAUCAUCGGGCCACCGUGGCGGCCACCAGUUGCUGAUGACGGCACCUCCGUCCACGGUGGCCGGAAAGUAUAAAAUGGUCAUCUUUUUGGCCUUUCAACUCCCCUAGCUUAAAAAGUGUCAUCUUUCAUUGGAGAUGAUGGUCCUUGGCCACCCACGGCGGCGGAAUGCGAAAGUCGGUAAGAUUUUGACUUUUUGUUCUAUUUUAUGUUUAUCUAUUUUAAAAAAAUAAAAAGCCAAGAAAUAAAGUGAAUAAAAGACCGCCUUUAAGAAUGUUUUUUAUUCUUCUUUGAUUGAUCCUCUGUAAAAAAUUAUAAACUAUUUUCGUCCUCUUUUGUUCAUCUCUGUUUUACUACUGUUCUUGCUACUUUUCUUACUACCUAUGUAUUCUUUUUUGGUCCUCUUUUGUAGGUUCGGCACUCGAUCAACGGAGGAGAGAAGGGGCGCCUUUGGCGUUUUGGUGCAAGGCAGCAGACGCGCGUCAGGCCUCGGGACGAGGCGUGCUGACAUGGCACGAGCAAAGGGAGCGGUGCGGCGCACAUGGGAACAUUAGGGUUUUAGGGUUUCUGAAUUAGUUUAGGUUGUAGGCUUGUAAUUUUUGGGCUAGGAUUUUUGUAUUUUGGGUCAUUUGGGCCUCUUUUGUAAAUGGACUAUUGCAUUUGGUUUUUAUUUAUUUGGUUUGGUUUGGUGGGCCGGGCAAAAUUGGCCUGCUACAAUGAUUUUUUCCAUAUAUUUUUGUAUGAUUAAUUUUUUAAUGAUCCAACUAUUAUAUUUUAUAUUCUAUUUAUAUAGAUGAUGUAUGUCAAAUUUGACUUGAAUUUAUAAUUUUUAACUAUUUGUUAUAGAUAAAACUUAUAAUUGUUCAAAAAAUUACAUGCAUGACUAUCACAAUUAUAUUGAUAAAUUCAAUGAAUAAAUUAUUAAAAUAUUGAUCAUGCAAAAAGAUACGAAUGGGUGUAAAAACUUUUUUAAUUGUACAUCGAUGUAACAUUUCUCUUAAAAUUUAAAAUCAUUUACCAACAUUUGUUGAGUCGCGUGAUAAGAAAUUUAAAACCCUUUGAGCAUGAUUUCAUAUUCAAUUUUUGUAGAUUAAAAAACAUCAAUAAGAAAAUUUAUUGUUCAUUUAGAUUUAAUCAAAACUUAAUGUGAUUAUCGGACCUAGUGACAAAGGUAAAAGGAGAUUGGUAGUAUCUUUCCCUCCUAAAUGAUAAAUUCAUCAUUUAAUCCUUUAAAUAUUUUAUGAAAUUAUAUAUUAAUAUAAUAAUAAAAUUAGAUAAAUUCAUCAUUUAAUCCUUUAAAUAUUUUAUGAAAUUAUAUAUUAAUAUAAUAAUAAAAUUACACUAUCAUAUUCUAAAUAAAUAAUGAUUCAUAUCUGAUCCUUCUAAGCAAUUCUUUAUGUUCGUCCUGAUCUAAUAGGAGAAAAAAAAAAAGAACAUUUAUGCUUUUUAUUUUUCUUUUGUUAUAAUCACAUCUAGAAUAAAAAAUGUUACUUUAUCAGUAAAUGGAAGACUUUUGUUAAUCAAAAAGUCUUGUCUUGACUUAACCUCCCCCCCCCCCCCUUCCCCAUGUUUAUAAUUAUAAGCUAAACACUUCUGCCACUUUGAGAGACUUGUGUUAACAGAGAAAAAAAACUAUAUACCAUAAACUGAGAAAGAGAGAGAGAGAGAGAGAGAUUAAUGGAGGAUUCAAUUGAUGAUAAUAAAAAGAAAAGAGACGGGGAAGAAAUUAAGCUUCCAGGUUUUAGAUUUCACCCAACAGACGAAGAACUUGUGGGGUUUUAUCUGAGAAGAAAGGUGGAAAAGAAACCGAUCAGUAUUGAACUAAUCAAACAGAUUGACAUCUAUCAAUAUGAUCCUUGGGAUCUUCCAAGUAAGCAUCUGAUUUUUUUUUUUUUAACAUCCUUGAUCGUUUCUUCAGUUGAAACUAUUUGUUUUUCUUGGAUAAUAUAAUUUUUCCACUCAAUUUCAUAAUUAGGUUAACUUUGAUAUUUAUAUUUUUUUUUGUCUAUUUUGACAUUUAAAUUUAAUAACUAAAUCUAUCUUAAUCCGUGAAUUUGAAAUAUAUAAAAGAUUAGUUACAUGAACUCAGAGAUUGCACCAUAUCACCAACUAAAUAAUUAAAUAAAAAUUCAUAAAAAUUUAAACAAUAAAAGUUUUAUUAAAUUGGUUUAACUUGUUCAACUUUCAAUUUUUGUCCCGAUUUUUUACUUUUACCAAUUUCAAACAGUUUUCAAGCCAAUCGAUUCAACCCCUUUGUUUGGACUGUUAUAUCAAUCAACUCUCGAUUUGUCCAAUUCGGUCUUGUUCUAAUAACAUGGGCCACAUCAUGAAAUAUUAAUAGAAUCUAAGUUUAGAACUCAAAUUAGCAAAAAAAAAAAAAGACAAGCACCAAAGUGAACCCAGUUGUCAAGUUCAGGGGGUAAAAAAUUAUAUUAUCUCCUUUUUAUGGAUAUUAAUAUUUGAUUGAAUAUUACAAAGUAAAUAUUUAUAAAACCGAGCUUAAAAUAUGGUUCAAGUCUUUAUACUAUAAAUUUUUGGAAUUUAGUUCUAUUUUUUUAAUUUUAAAAUUCGAGAUUAAAAUUGUUGGUGUGAUAUUUAAAAAAAAACCUAAAAAUAAUACUCACUUGGUAUAAUAAUGUUAAAAAAAUGAUGUUGUAAUAAGCUUGAAAGAAUUGCUACGGUAUUAAUAAUUAGACUUUUAUUUUUACAUUCAAAAAAUAAAAAAAAUCUUAAAAAUAAAAAUAGAUAAACUAUAUUUCAAACUUAUAAAAAAUACAAAGACUUGUCGUAAUUUUACAAUCUUAAAAUAAUUAUAACAAUUAGUAAUAAAAAAUUUAUUUGUCCGAAUGAACAAUUUAAAGGUGAAAAAGAGUUAUGGAUGGAAGUAAAUUUUGUAUAAAAGAAAAUUUACCUUUUAACUUUUAUAAUAUUUUUUUUAUUUAAUAUAAAAUUUUGUAAUAAAAAAAUAUCUCUCCAAUCUCUAUUAAUUUUACUUUAAGAAUCUAAAAAGUUGACUAACAUAAUCAUUUGAUGAGGUAAUUUCCUCUACUUAAUUGAUUCUCGCUAAUUUUUUAUUUAAAAUAUUUUGACAGAAAUAAAUAAUGGGAAAACCUUUUUCUUCUUCUUAUAAUUUAUUGUUUCCUUGGCCGAAAAAACAAGAAAGGUAAUUCCUUAUUAUAUUCUUUACACACUCUCUAUUCAUCAAAUAAAAUUAAACUUUGUUUAAACCUUUUUGUUUUGAAGAAAAGGAAAUCCUCACCAAUUUUUGGAAAUAAAUUUAAAAAAUUUAAUCUCCAACUUCAGUUUAACAAGGAAAAAAAUAUAACAGUUGAGGGUGGGUCGGUUUCUUUAGAAGUAUUCAAAAUGUCAUUCGUUAAGCAGUCAACUAAACCCUCAACAAUUGAAGGUAUUGUCUUUUGAGAAAAAUCUUGUCUUUCGUGUUCUGCCAAAAGCAGCGUGUCGUGAGUAGUUGUCCUGAAAGCUUGAUUCAGAGAGCUAGAGCACCUUGACCAUACGGCCACCCACCAAGGGGAUGUGAGUGUUUUACCGUCGGUGGGGUUCGAGCCCCUAACCAGGUCCUCAAGGUAGUUGCUCGCAUUACGUUAGCUUUCAACAAAGCACUGGAAACAAAACCCUCUUGAGGACAAUACUUUCAAUUGUUGGGGGUCCGGUCAAUUGUUUGAUUGACAACACUUCAAAAAUUUCUUUCCAAGAAAUCGACCCACCCUCAACAAGAAAAUUUUGUAGGAUUUUUUCCCACCUCCUAUAUGGCUUGACAAACUAAAAUUAUAAUAAAAUAAUUUUAUUUGAUUACACAUAUUUAAAUAUUUUAAAAUUUAUUUCUAAUAAUUUUAUCAAUUAUCAUCGGAUUUAUUUAUAUACAUAGUACAUCAAAUAACAACCCAUAAAUAAAAUGGUAUGAGAGGAAACAAUGUGAACUUAUUGAACAUUUUGUGGUUAAAAUGAUGGAUUUCAUCAUACUUUGGGCCUACCAUUCCAUAACUAUAAAUGUCCAAUAAAUGAAUAAAACCUGUUCUCUGCCUAAAUCAAUUAAUGGUUCAACAUUAUUAUAUUUUUUUCCCCUCUUUCAAAGAAAAAUUUAACAUCUUGGAUCAAUUCAAACAUAGCAAGCAUUUAUCAUGGUCUAAAAGGGAAAUUUCAGUCUUUACUCCUUAGAAGAAAAAACAUUUCUCGAAAUCAAAUCAAAUAGAUUUCCUAAAUAGGGAUCAAACUCUAUUAGUAUUAUUUUCUCUAUUUAUAAUACUCCAACAUGACAUCUUAAAUUACACUUAUAUAGAGUUGGUUAAAAUUUGCCCUAGGUCUCAGGGGCGGCAGCAGGCCCAACCAUCUCUUAAAAUGGCAAAUCUAACUUUUGGUGCUUUAAAAUGUAUAAAAUUUUAAAUUUUUAUAUGGUAAAAUUACACUUUGCCUCCUUAAAAUGAUAAGUCCUUAAAAGAUUAUAAAGAUACAAACUAUUAAAAUUGUGAAAUUACAUUUUAGCUCUCAUAAAAAUAUACAACUUAGUUCCACCCCUAAAAGAACUUUAGGCUUCGCCCUUGCUUGGUUCCUAUAGUUUUUGAAAAUUUGGAAUUUAAUCAUCUACUUUUAUUACAAGAAAUUUAGCCCCUUCAGGUCUAAAAAAGCAAGUCAAAUUGUUUUCAAAAUUAAAAUUCGUCUCUUAAAUUAUAGGUUCAUUAUAAUGUCAUUAUUUUAUUACAUGGUUACUAAGUGAAUAUUUCUUUUAUUUAAAAAUGUCACACCAGCAAAUUGAACAGAAUGAUUUUAAUGACGUUAACAAUUGAGCCUGCAUAUUUAAAUCUAAAAAGUAAAAGGACUAAAUUUUAAAUGUAGAAAGAGUACAAAAAUUGAAGCAUAUUUUAACCUAUACAAGCUGAUUAAUUAAUAUUGAAGGGUGAUAAUGAUGAAGUGUGUUUUUAUGCAUGGUUGAGGAAGAAGUUAGCAAUGUGGGAGAAAAAGAACGGUAUUUCUAUUGCAAGAGAGGAAGAAAAUACAGAAACAGCAUAAGGCCAAAUAGGGUGACCGGUUCAGGGUUUUGGAAGGCAACCGGCAUCGACAAGCCCAUCUAUUCGUCGUCAACCAAAGAACCCCAUCAUCACCAUCACCAUCACCAUCAUCAGCAUGAUCGUCAUCAGCACCAGCAUUUAUGCACAUGCAUUGGGCUCAAGAAAUCCCUUGUCUACUAUCGAGGCUGUGCCGGCAAGGGCACCAAGACCGAUUGGAUGAUGCAUGAGUUUCGCCUUCCCCCUAAUGGGAACCACACCACCAAGGCCCAAGAAGCGGUAAGCAUAUACAUUCUUAAUUCUUCUACUUUGUUUUGCUAUGGUUUAAAUUCUAAAUCAGUAUCAGUUUAACCAUAAGUUUGAAUGCUAAAUACUGACUCAAAUUUAAAGUGAAACAUAUUUUAAAAUAUGUAUAUUAAUAUACUUACUAUAUGGAUGAAUUUAGAUAUGUAAAAAAAAUGCUUCUUAAAUUUUAUUGAUUAUGUUUUAUCAAAGAGUUCUUACAUUGAACAAAUAUAUAUAUAUUUGCUUAGCUAGUAAAAUUUUAUUAAACCCGAAAAAGGUAAACAAACCGAAAGGUCAACGAUAAAAUAAUUCUUGUACAAGCUUACAACUUGCACCAUAUCGCCAAUAAAAGACCCGAAAACGAAAUCCGCACCUUCCACCAUGGAAUUAUUAACAUAUUAACUAUGUGUGUAUAUAUUUAUGAUGUCUUUAUCUAUAAAUAGGAUAAUAGCAUACAAAUGUCUAUUUUAUACUUCUAAAAACAUUGAGGGUUUUUUCUCAUAAAACAUGUUUAUUUUAUCACUUUGGUUUUAAUUUAAUUUUUUUUUUUUUUACUUUAGCUCAUAAUUUUUAAAUUUUAGCCAAAUAGCUUUGUUUUAAAUGAAAAUUUUGAUUGAACCGUUAAAAUUUUAAUGACAAUAAUAUGCCUGCUUGCACGACAGUUUAUGAAUACUUCACUUUUAAUUUGAAUAAAUUUUUUAAAAUUUUUUUGAAUUUUUUUUAAAAUUUGUUGAUUUUUUUUUAAUUUUAUAAAGUAUAUAUAAAUUAUCACACCCGUUGUCACGUUAGUGCCAUUAAAAUUUCAAUGGGCUCGUUAAUUUUUUCAUCUAAAAAAUAAUUUAACUAAAUUUUAAAAGUUGAAGAUAAAUUGAUCCGAAAAGAAAAAGAACUAAAAUGUGCUAAAUUUAUCAUUUUACUUUUAUAUAAAUUUUAAACAUAAUCCCUAAAUUUUUAUACAAUUCUAAUCUUAAUUUGUUGACUUUAUAAAUCCACAUUUCCUUGUCACAUUGUACUUUUUUUCGUAAUAAGUACUUUGGUCGUACUAGAUUGUUACGAAGUUUCCUCGCUGUUAGGUCUUUCAAUUUCAUGUGGACAGAGAAAAAAAAAAGACUAUUCGAAACCUAGGGAAAAAGGCAACUCAGUGUUUUAAUAGUUGCAUGCAUGCAGGAAGUUUGGACGCUUUGUCGAAUCUUCAAACGAACCCCGCCAAACAACAAGUACCCACCAACCACGGUGGCAUCAACGGCGGCUUGGAAAUUCAGUGCCACCACAACAAUCAAACAAAGCGGAACUGAUUCUCCCACAACUUGUUGUAGCAGCUUGGAAGAUGUUUCUCAAAGCCAAAACAGCUACGACAAGUGCAAGAGCCUUUGUGACACAAUCAUCCAACAAAAGGGUAACAAACCAGACAUGUCCAUGGACCAAGUUGAUGCAAGAAACUACUUCCUUUAUGGCGGCACUCUUCCAUUGUCAACGCAGCAAGCUCCAUUUACAGCCACGAAUUUCCCCACUUUUUGCAACCACCCCAGUGGCGAUGUCGAUGUGUUUAGUAAUGGAAAUUGGGAUGAGUUGAGACCAGUAGUCGAGGUAGCCCUUGAACCCUAUACCAGCCAUGCCUUUGAUUUUACAUAAAUGGGGUUGCCGGAGAAUGAAGGUAUAUAUAUAUAUAAUGAUUUGGAAGAUGAAAUGGAGAUGAUGUUAAUUGAGUUGAAUCUUUGUUUGGUUAACACUAUUCGAAAGUUUUCAUUUAAAUCAUUAAACUAUUUGAAAGUUUCUAUUUAAGUUAUUAUGAUGUGAACUUUUUUAAGUAUGAUUAGUAAGCUUCAAGCAACGAUUUGGCAAUCAGAACGGUCGGUCAGUACCCAUCGACAAGUAGAAUAAUCUACCUUAGAUCCAAGUCGAUUUGACAGUCAGUGUUGGAGAUCGAAGAAGAAAGCUAUUUGAACUUUGGUUCACACAAUAUUUGUAACGUUUAAAGUUGUUUCAUGAAAAAAUAUUGAAUUGUAAAAGAGAAAGAAAAUGAGAGCUUUAGAUUGAUGCAAGUGAUGCGAAUAGAGAAGACUAUACAAUAAUGAUUUUAAUAACUCAAUGUCUUAAAUGAAAUUUUUUAAAUAAUUUAAUGAUCAUUUUAUAAUUUUUUAAAGUUGAGUGACCAAUACUUAAACUUAUUAAUUAUUUAAUGAAUUUACCCUAAGAAAUCUAGAAAACUGAAUAAAUGACAGGGCCCUUGACCCACGACUGUUAGCUGGAUUUAAUUUUUGGAUAAUUGGGUCUAAAUAAGCUACCAUAUAAUAAUUGCACCAUUUGUUGGUCCACAUUAAAAUCCAAAUAUAGUAACUCUUAACACCACACAGAUCCAUAACGGCGAUAGGCAUGUUUCAACUCUCGUACCGUAUAUAACUAAACGUCGUAAGAUAUGGAUUAAAUUGAAUAAAUUAAAAUUAUUUAAUUUAUUUGAUUAAUUUUUAUUUUGAAUAUCAAAUAUACCAAUUAAGCGUUAAGACUGUCCCAAUAUUUAAAUGCACAAUAUAUCUAAUUAUCCAUAUAUAAGCUAACCCAAAUAUAAAAUAAUCCAAUCAAAUCAAAAUUACUCAAAUUUAAAAUAGAAUUUAUCGAAAUCUCUUCUUUUUUGAAAUCGACUUUUUUUUAAAAAUGAAAAAAUGGGAAUCGUCACCAAUCUUUUUUUUUAUGAGGUGUGAUCAGAUCACCUCGUAAUUUGAUCGUUUUAAUAAAAGGUUUGAUUUACCAAACAAUGAUUUUUUUGGGUCUACAAAAUUCAGAAAAUGGAUUCAGGAGUGAGUUACGAACGAGGAAGAAUUAGCACCCUCGUGACGCCCAAAAUUGGUACCUAGUUGAUUACUUGAUGUCUUAGUGUCAAGAAUUGAAAAUUUGAAGAGAAUUUAAAAACAUGAUCCCUUUAUAUUAAGGCACUUACUUAACUAAAGUUAUUUUCGCGAAAAGGGCUUAUUUCAAGUUGAUCGAGAAGAAAGAUCAUGCCCCGUAAGUUAGGACAUGAUACUUUGAAUUCUCAAAAACGAGAAUAAACGUCAUUUGAUUGUUACUUAAAUCUCAUUUCUUAUUUUUGAAAUAGAUAUUCGACUAUUUCGGUUUUAGGAGGAAGCCAUAUUCUAUAAGUUAGGAACACGACUCUUCUAAUUCCAAAAAUGAUGAACAUUUACCUCGCUUUAAAAAUUUUCCCUUUUUUUUGCAUCGAGUAAAGCGAAUGUAACAUCUAAGGCAAUGUAUAUUUAACUUGUUUGGGCAUAGUAUAAAAAUGUGUAAGUAUGUUUAAGCACGACUCAUGACAUGAUUAUGGAAAAAUAAAAUAGAAUGAUGGUGCAUAAGAAUGGAACGAUGAUAUAAAUAAAAUGUCAUACUAAUAAAUGAUGAUGAUAUGACAAUAAUAAUAAAACACCAAAUAAUAACACCGAGAAUAAUCAUAUUAUAAUUAUUGAUUUUAAUACUAUUAAAUAAUAAUAGGAAAAAUAAAUAGUGAUAAUAAUGAUAAUGAUAAUGAUAAUGAUAAUGAUAAUAAUAAUAACAACAACAAAAUGUGCAAAUAAAAGAAUAAAGAACACUAUAAAUUUUAAAUACAAAAAAAAGUAAGAAAUAAAUAAAUAAACACAUAAAUAAAAAGAAUAAAAAAAUUUCAUAAAAGAUUGAAAUUAAAUAAUCCAAGGACUGAAUCAGAAUGAAAUUGAAAUUAAAAGUAUAAAUUGUGAUGAAAUAAAUAAAAGACUAAAAUGAAAAGCACGAAAACACACAGGGACUAAAUGAGGAAUUAUUCAAGACACACGUCCUUCCCCAAAGGGUCAGCGAGCUGAGUACUAAAUUGAAACAAACAAAAAUUAUGUGGUAUAAUUUCUAGAAAGAAAAAUAUUGGGAUUAUGACCUAAUUGAAAUAACUCAAAACACGGAGGGCCUAAAGUCACAAAUAUCCACCCUUAAGAAACACGAGGAUCUUCGGGGCGGUUUGGAUCAGGCAAUCGGGUCGGCUGAAACAACACCGUUUCGGGCAUCCGAUUCUUAAAAUGGUCCAUGGACAAAAAUGAGAAUAUAAAGAAAUCAAAUGGAAAAAUAGAAAAAAUAAAUAAAAGGACUAAACUAAAAUGAUUUGCAAAAGCAUAAGGACCAAAAAUGUAAAUUAACCAUUUGCAAAAAAACACGCGGAUCCUAAGGCAGGUCAGGUCUGUUUUCGGGUCAGCUUCAAAACGAUGCCGUUUUGGGGCAUUUGAAGCCAAGCCAAAACGUCGUCCUAUCGAGGCAUUAUAAAAGUAAAAAAAUCAGAAAAAAAUUUUAUUUUCAGUAGCAUUUUUUUAAAAAAAAAAGUUUCCUUUCCCUCUGUUUUCUCUCUGGGCGCAGCCUAGAAUCUGGCCAUCGGGAUGCCGUGGGUUUGUCAUGACCACCGGUCAUCGACGUCGGUGGUCGACGCCUCUGAUGGCUGGAGAGAAAAGAAAAAAGCCUUUUCCGGCCUUCUCUCAGCCCAAAUCUGAGGGCUAAACUUUCGGUUCUCAAAAAAAUCAAAAAAAAAAUCUUUGACCCCUACCUAGUCGAUUUCGAUGCUGGAGAAGGCUUCUGACGACAGGUAUACGAAGCAACUCAAGUGAAGAACUACUUUACUUUUAUUUAUUAUUGUUUUUUUUUUUGGAAAUAAAACAGAACAAGAGAAAAAGAGUCACAUUUGUUCUUCUUUUUAACAUUUUUUUGUAUAUUUUGUCUGUAAAAAAUUACAAUCUGGUUAUGGCUUUUAUAGCCAUAUAUUACACGGUUCAUUUUUACUAUUUUGCUAUUGUUUUCGCUACUAUUCCUUUGAUGUUUCUGUCUUCUUUUUUUGUCCUUUUUUUGCAGGAAUCGGCGCGGUCAACAACGACAUUGGGAGUCGCGUUUUAGCCACUUCAGCGAAACAAUGGCAGAGCGACAGAUCUCGAGGCGCAGGUGUUUCGAGCGAAGUGCCUGCUGACGUGGCAAGGAGCUACGGCUCAAAAGGCUAGGUUUUUUUUUUAGCUUUCUGAAAACUUAAGCCACAUUUGGUUGGAGGGAAUGGAAUAGCCAUUCCCUCCUUAUUCUUGGAUGAAUAGUUAAGCUAUAGUUUGGUUCACCGUUUUCUUUAUUCAAAAAAUGGCUAUUCCUCCCUUAUUUGUCUGAUUUACCGAAUCAUCAUUCGGAGAAGGGGGCUAAGAAUAGCCCAUUCAAAGACGGAUGUAAUAGAAAAAAAUUUCCCCCAGACAAAUUUACCCUGUAUUUCUUCACCCAUUGACCAUAAAAACGUUAAAAAUAUUGAAACUCCAUCUUUCCCAAAAACGUCGAAACUCUAGAGGAGAAAAGGGGAGAAGGAAAUUCUUUAAAAUUUCUUUUCCUUGACCGUAAGAAGGGAAAUCGGUGGUGAAAAGAAGGGGAAAACUUCAUGUUUUCUUCUAUAAUAUAUUUUUCUUUGUCUUUACUUUUUCUUUUCUUUUCUUUUGUUGGUCCGAAUGGAUGAAAUAAAAAGGGAGGUCAGUUGCAUGGAGGGAGAGGCCAUGGAUUUGGCAUAUUAAAUAGUUGUUUCUUCAUAUUAAAAAGCUUGAGAGGUGGGAGACGAUCAAAUUGGUAAAGGCGAGGAGAAAGUUUGUGCUCGUAACAACAAUUUGGGGAAGAAUUCGGUAAGUUUCCCUUGAAAUUUACACACACACUUACUCGUUUAGUUAAUUGUCAAGUCGAAUUAACUAGUUGGUGCCUUUAAUUAAGUCGUAUGAAUUUUAUGAUUAAACUGUAAAUUAGCUACUGUUGAUUUUCGGUUAGGAGCAAAUAAAUCAUGUUGGAAAUUUGAAGAAAUAGUUGUAAAUAAAGAAAAAAAAAUGGUUGCUCAUUGGUUAUGGUGUGAGUUUAAGUUAUUUCUUGAAUCAUUGGUUGUACUCUGAUGCUGGUAAGUGUGAUGAAAAUUGAGGGAAAAGUCUUGAUAAUUGUUAGUUGUUGAGUGAACUAUGUGGCAUGCAAACGCCAUGCAAAUGCCAUGCAUGCUAUCCGAAUAUGACCUUUUGUAAUGAAAUUAAGAUAACCUGCUGCUGGAAUUGAUUAAAUAUUAAGGUCUUAAGUUGCAAUUAGAAGAUGUCAUAGUUAUAAUUAAGAUGACCUACUGCUGUAUCGUGAUUAAAAUGUAAGUUUCAUGCUGUAAGUAUUUAUGUUGUCUUAAAACAUUAUCUGAAAUGGAUUAAUUGUUGUAAUUUAAACAGUCUUAAUAAUGAAAUUGUGACAUCUUAAAACGAUAAAUUGAGAGGAGUUAUAGCUGUAAUUUAUAGUGCUUGGGUGCCGUGGUUAAAAUGUAUAACUCUGGGAUUGAUAUUGAUGAUGUGAUGUUAAUGAAUAAAUCGAGUUUUAUUUGUCGAAUGACAUGUUAUUUUAGAAAUACAAAUUGAGUGUUGCUAAUGGUGAGUUUUCUUUAAACUCCUUUAUUAUUUCCAUGCUUGAAAUUCUUAUCAAUUUUACAUGGAUGAUUCGGCGAUAGUUAAAUAAGGAAAAAAUAAUUGUUGUUUACAAAUUCCAUGGUUGCUACUGUUUUGUACUGGUUAAUCUCUUUUAUUUCAGAUUUAGUUGUUGUCCAAUUAGUGCAAAAAUUUCCUAUUGCUCAAGCAAAGUAGAUGUUGUUGUUGCUCACUUUUGUACUUUUAAAUCCCUAUUUAAGUACUGCAAUUUUAAGUGUUUAGUUGCUGGAAAUUGAGAUGUUUUAUUACUGUAAUUAAGGUGUAUAAAUGUUGUUAAUAGAGAUGUUAAAGUGCUGCAAAUUGAAGUGUUUAAAUGUUGUAAAUUGAAGUGUUAAAGUGUUACAAAUUGAAGUAUUUAAAUGCUGUGAAUUGAAGUGUUAAAGUGAUGCAAAUUGAAGUGUUUAAAUGUUGUAAAUUGAAGUGUUUUAAGUACUGCAAAUUGAAUUGUAUAGUUGCUUGAAAUUGAGAUGUUUAUCAUUGUAAUUGAGGUGUAUAAAUGUUGUUAAUUGGGAUGUUAAAGUGUUGUAAGUUGAGGUGUUUAAAUGCUGUAAACUGAAGUGUUUAAUUGCUAUAAAUUGAGGUGCUCAAAUGAUGUAAAUUGAAGUGUUUAAGUGCUACAAAUUGUGGUGUACAAAUGAGUCUAAAAUUAGUUAUUGCAAUGUAUUUUUUGUGAUUAAAUGCAGUCGAAAAUAAGUUAGAAAACAAAAUUGCACUUGAUGUUAUUUUAAAACAUGUUAUGUUGUCAUUGUAAGCUGUCCGAAUAUUCAUUUACACUAUCCAAAUGAUCACGAACAUAAGUUGUAUUAUUAAUGUAAAAUAAGUCAUUGUAGUGAUGCAAUUUAAGUUGCUUGAAUGUUAUAAAUGUAGGUUGGCUAAAUAUGCAAUUGGUAUAUUUGCAAUGUUGUGAAUGUGGUUUGAGUUGGAUAGUCGAAUGACAGCAAAACACAAUGAUACACGCAUAAAUGGUGAAACUCGAUGAUGCAUGUCGAAACCAUUUUUGAAAAAUAAUGAUUUUAGGUUGUCAACUUUAAAAAAAAUGAAAAUUUGGGAGUCGCCACCAAUCUUUUAUUGAGGUGUGAUUGGAUCACCUAAAACACGGAUUUGGUCUACGAGUUUUAGAAAAACGGAUCCGGGAGUCAAUUACGUACGAGGAAGGAUUAGCACCCUCGUAACGCCCAAAAUUGGUACCUAGUUAAUUAAUUAGUGUCUNNNNNNNNNNNNNNNNNNNNNNNNNNNNNNNNNNNNNNNNNNNNNNNNNNNNNNNNNNNNNNNNNNNNNNNNNNNNNNNNNNNNNNNNNNNNNNNNNNNNNNNNNNNNNNNNNNNNNNNNNNNNNNNNNNNNNNNNNNNNNNNNNNNNNNNNNNNNNNNNNNNNNNNNNNNNNNNNNNNNNNNNNNNNNNNNNNNNNNNNNNNNNNNNNNNNNNNNNNNNNNNNNNNNNNNNNNNNNNNNNNNNNNNNNNNNNNNNNNNNNNNNNNNNNNNNNNNNNNNNNNNNNNNNNNNNNNNNNNNNNNNNNNNNNNNNNNNNNNNNNNACAACGUGUUGAAUUCCCAAUAAUGAGCUCUUAUUUUGAUUAAAAGAAUCUCCAUUUUGAAAAAAGUUUGAUUUAAAAAAAAUUAAAAAAAUGUAAUGUUAUGCUACAUUAAAUAUAUAAUGCAAUAAUAAAUACUAAGAUAGCAUAGAAAUAAUGCAAAUAUAUGAACAAAUAAAUAACGAAUGACAUAUAAUAUAUUAAAUAAAUGAGCAAUAUAAACAUAAUAAAUGAAAUUACGAAGAAUUAGAGGCAUACAUAUGAAUUUUCAUGUAAAACUUUAAUUUAUAAAAUUUAUAAUGUACUUAUGAGAACAUAAAAAAAAUAAAAAUUAAAUGAUGUCAACAUUAUUAAAAUCCAAAAAAAUAUGUAUACAUAUAAAUGUGAAUAAAACCUUAGUUUUAAAAAUAUAAAUGCGUAUAAAAAAACAUAUACAUGUGUUUUUUCAAAAUAAUUUAAAAAAUAAAAAAAACAAUUACAUUGUUAAAAUUAAUUAAGAAAAUAAUAAGAAAAACCAAAUUGAACAGCAAUUGAAAAAUUUUGAGGCAAAUCCGCGAAUAAAUGAAACCCCAGGGACUAAUUCGAACACGCAAAUUACAUAAAGGGGCUGGAAGGGAAAUUUUUCCCUCUCCUCUAAAACGGCGCCGUUCGAACGGAUUAAAUCGGAAUUUAAAAUAAAUUAAAGGUCAGAUUUAAAAAAUAAAAAAACUAAUUGAAAGUAUAUUAAAAGGCGGAGGGGCUAAAAAUGCAAUUUACCCCUCCGCUAAAAAACACGCGAAUCCUAGGAAAGGUCGGGUCGGAGUCGGGUCGGCCUCCCCAAAAUGACGCCGUUUUAGGCAUCUGGGGGCUCUCCAAAACGACACCGUUUUGGUACCUUAUAUAAGCCUCCAACAUCUCAAAAAAAAUCAUUUUCAAAACCAAAAUAAAAACAAAAAAACCCUUUGAAAUUUUCUCCCCUCGGUCUGCCCUCUGACUAUAGGUCGGUCAUCGGUCAGUCGCCGGCCACUGCGCCGGCUGCCGAUCUCCAGCGCCGGCACCGCUGUCUGCGGUGGCCGGAGGGGGAAAAAUUUCCAGGUUUGACCUUUUAACCCCCCUGAGUCUAAAUCCGGGCUCAAAUCGCACAAAACACCAACGAAAGUGCCCCUAAAAGCAACGAAACCUUUCGGCUUCCGGUCGUCUUUCAUCGGAGACGACACCCUCAGCUAUCCAUGGCGGUCUAGGGCUCAAAAAGGAGGUUGUAUCUCUCUUUUCCUUUUUUAUUAACAGUAUAUAAACGAAUAAUAAAUAACAAAAUGUAAAAACAACCUUUGAUUUUCACUGUAUCUCUGUUUGUGCUGUAAAACGUGUUUUUUAUUAUUGAUUUCCAAAAAAUCAUCCUUUUUACAGUCUUAACAAUGGCUUUAUAUAGCCAUAUGAAAAAGAAGAAAAGAAGAAACAAUAUCUAUUUUCUUUUGAUUUGAUUUGCAAAUCUCUGAUUUCAUUUUCCAUAUACUGUUUAUUUCCUUUCCUUAUGUGCAGGUGAAGAUCGGGGCUAAGAUUCGUGGCCGCGGUGCUUGAGGAUUUCCCUAGAAUCCCUAGGGUUUCUGAUUAACGUUUUGGGCACUUUGGGCUACACAUAAUUGGGCCACCGUGCCUUGGGCCCCUGCUAUAUUUUGGAUUCGUGCCAUAUAGGCCAAUGUAAUUUGAGCCCUUUUAGGCUCGGGCAAAAUCUGUUAUUACAGCUGCCCCUCUAUGCUUGUUGUCGGGUAACGAGAACAGAGCAAAGACCAAAAACAAUUUUGCCCGGUCGUACCGGACUUUGGUAUUCCUUCCUACUGCAUCUUCAGAGGUACAGGAACUAGUGCUUUAAUCUACUUCUCUGCAACUUCAGGAAAACUUGUAGCUUCCGCUUGAUCUACCAAUCUGCUCCACUGUAACUUCAGGGAGAUAAGAUCUGAGGUUUUAACCCACUCCACUGUCGGCUUUAAUUUGCUCCAUCGCAACUUCAGGGAGAUAAGAUUUGCCAACUUCAGUCUGCCUCACUGCAAUUUCAGGAGGAUAAGACUUACUUUGCUUAGUCUGCUCCACUGUAACUUCAGGGAGAUAAGAUUUGAUGCGAUCUGCUCUCUGCAACUUCAGAGAGAUAAGAUCUGAGGUUUUAAUCCACUCCACUAUAAUUUUAGGGAGAUAGGAUUGUUGGCUUUAAUUUGCUCCACUGCAACUUCAGAGAGAUCAGCCUUACCAUCUUCAGUCUGCCCCACUGCAACUUCAAGAGGAUAAGACUUGCUUACUUAGUCUGCUCCACUGUAACUUCAGGGAGAUAAGACUAGAUGCGAUCUGCUCUCUGCAACUUCAGAGAGAUAAGAUCUGAGGUUUUAAUCCGUUCCAAUGCAAGUUCAGGGAGAUAGGAUUAUCGGCUUUAAUCUGCUCCACUGUAACUUCAAGGAGAUAAGACUUGCCAUCUUCAGUCUGCCCCACUGCAACUUCAGGAGGAUAAGACUUGCUUACUUAGUCUGCUCUACUGUAACUUCAGGGAGAUAAGACUAGCUGCGAUCUGCUCUCUGCAACUUUAGAGAGAUAAUAUCCGAGGUUUUAAUCUGCUCCAAUGCAACUUCAAGGAGAUAGGAUUAUCGGCUUUAAUCUGUUCCACUACAACUUCAGGGAGAUAAGAUUAUCGGCUUUAAUCUGCUCCACUGUAACUUCAGGGAGAUAAGACUUGCCAUCUUCAGUCUGCCCCACUGCAACUUCAGGAGGAUAAGACUUGCUUAUUUAGUCUGCUCCACUGUAACUUCAGGGAGAUAAGACUAGAUGCGAUAUGUUAUCUUCACUGAUCUGCUCUCUAAAGAACAUGAUCUGUAUAGUGAACCUAAUUAUGCCUAAUGAGUAAGAUGUCAUAAAAAUACAUCAAGUGCUCCUAACCAGACAUGUGUGAAUGACAUUUGAAUGAAUGCAGAAUGUCAUUUUCCAAGAAUUAUCAUUUUUGAGGUUUAUUAUUAAGGUUUUGUCGUUGACGCCUUUUGCUUGGCUGAUAUUUCCAAAAAUGCUUAAUCAAAUUGCCCCCCGUUGUGCACCUCAAAGCUCUACUCUCUAGGACGCAGAAUUCGUACUGUAUUCCUUCCCCCAUGGCUUUAAGAGUAGGAAAAUUUUCACUCUUCUCUGUCUUCUCCUAUUGUAAUUCAAGGAUUUGUUCACACCACUCUCAGGGUGUCCUACCAAAUAUUCAUGCCCAAAUGAGGAACUUCCUUUCUAUAGGGGAUUUCUUGCUGUCUGAUUCGAUAUUUAGACAACAAAAUAUGAAAAAGCAGUCUUAAUUUGGACUUCUCCUUCUUAGGCUCUUUAAUCUUUGAACUUGGGGUGUUCUUAAACAAUAGCUCUGUUUCAGGUUACUAAAUUAUUUAGAAAUUCCCAAAGUAAUAUACAAAACUUCUUUUGUGAAAGAUUAUUAGUCCAUCAAUCAUUAUUCUAAUGCGACAUGCUGGCACAAAAAUCAAAAAUACUGAGUAAGAGAUGAAUUAAUUCACGAAUUUAUUAAUAGUAAGUGUCCUGAAAAGAAAAAAAUAUUCAAGAACAGGAAAGAAUGAAGUUUUUUUACAAGACCCAACAAACUUAGUACAAAUAUUAUGAAGACUAGGUGCUUUGGAUAUCGCCGCUUGAACUUCUCCAUGCAAGCCAAGAACCAUUCUGAAUUUAACAUGUGUUUAAGGGAUCCACAGUAUUCUGUUGAUGCCUCAAGAUGUCGUAUAUCCUUAUUGACUUAAGUGAAGCAAGAUCACCAUAUGCCCCAAUCUGACAAUGUUUGAGCCGCCCUUUUCGGGUUUUCAACUCAAACCCUCUUUGGUCUCAAAGUGCCCUUUUUGGGUUUUCACUUUGGCCUCUCCUUUUUUUUUUAAGAAAUCAAAGCGCCCUUUGCGGGUUUUCACCUAGAUUCCUUUCUUCUUUCAAGUGAAAUAUUUCUUGACCGAAUCUGAAUUUACAGGAUUCGGAAGAUUUUUGCCAUCCAUUUCACUCAAAAUCAAAGCGCCUCCAGAAAAAGCCUUUUUCACGACAUAAGGUCCUUCCCAGUUUGGCAUCCAUUUCCCUCUGAAAUCCUUUUGUAAAGGGAGGAUCUUUUUCAAAACCAAAUCCCCUUCAUGAAAUUCUCUGGGACAAACCUUCUUAUUAUAAGCUCGCAACAUUCGCUUCUGAUACAUUUGGCCAUGACGAAUAGCUUUUAAUCUUUUCUCUUCAAUCAGGUUCAGUUGAACAUACCGAGAUUGGAUCCAUUCAGCUUCAUCCAAUUUUAACUCAGCUAAUACCCGGAGGGAAGGGAUUUCAACCUCAAUGGGUAAUAUUGCCUCCAUUCCAUAAACCAACGAAAAAGGUGUUUGUAAUAGCCUGAAUUUUUAGUGGUGUCGGAAUGGUGAUUCGAGAUCACUAAAUCUGACAAACGAGUAGAAAAUAUUAUAAAUUUAGUAAGUAUAAGUUAAAUGUGAAGUUAGGAAAAUUUUUGAAAUAGUGAAUAGUGUACUAGGAAUAAAUAUUAAAAUAAUUAAAAUCAAAAACGAGGUAUCGAGACCUCAAAGAAUUUAAACCGAGCCAUAAAUAUUUUUAUAAAUAUUUAUAGAGUGUCAUUGAGUUGGUAUUAAAGUUCGUUAGAAAAUUUUAACGUUUGGAUAGUUAAUUAACUAAAAAGGACUAAAUUGGGAAUAGUGUAAAAUUUGUUAAAUUGUGAUUAAAUAGCUUAAGUGACUAAAGUGGAGGGAUUUAAAAGGCAAUUAGGCCCAAAUUAUAUGAGCAGGACGGUUGGGUAAGAAAAAUCAGCAGAAUGUAAAGGAGAAACAGGGGCAAAAUUGGAAACUUAACAAAUUAAACAUUUAAAANNNNNNNNNNNNNNNNNNNNNNNNNNNNNNNNNNNNNNNNNNNNNNNNNNNNNNNNNNNNNNNNNNNNNNNNNNNNNNNNNNNNNNNNNNNNNNNNNNNNNNNNNNNNNNNNNNNNNNNNNNNNNNNNNNNNNNNNNNNNNNNNNNNNNNNNNNNNNNNNNNNNNNNNNNNNNNNNNNNNNNNNNNNNNNNNNNNNNNNNNNNNNNNNNNNNNNUUGAUGAGUGUUGGAUUUUUAUGAUGAAUAAACAUGGAAUUGAAGCUUUAAUUUUGUUAUAUGAUGAUUUUAUUAAGUAAUUUUGAUAGAAAUUGAUUUUAGGGACCUAAUUGUGAAAAAGUUGGGAAUUAAGGUUUGGUGUUGCGGUUUUGAGUAUGAAAGGCUAUGUAGUAGUCUAAAAUAGUUGGAAAAGGUGUUAAUUGAGAAAAAUUAGAUCAAUUGAGGAGUUAAUUGAGUAGGGAUCAAAUUGUAAAAACUAUAAAGUUUGGGGUAAAAGUGUAAUUUCGAAAAUUAAAGGGUAUAAAUUGUGAAAUGAAUUAGAAUUGAAUUAAAUGCUGAUGAAUGAAUAAAUUUGCAUUUUAGAUCGAGAACCCGAAACAAGUCGAGGAAAAGAAAAAGUAGCCGAUUAGUCCCUGAACUUUUACAAAUUCUGCAAAUCGAUCCAGGUAAGUUCAUAUGGCUGAAAUUUAGUGAUUAAAUGUUAAUUUCAUGAAUUAUACAAUGUAUGAUGAAAUGUAUUUAUUGUUGAAAUGAGAAUAAAAUAAAAAUGUGAAAAUCGAAUAAAUGAUCAAAUUAAGUGGAACGCCGGAUUUGAGUACUUCUGAUCAAGUGACAAAGUGAUAAGUGGUAGUUUUAGCUACAUUUAUCUGAUCAAGAAACAAAGUGAUAAGUGGUUACACUUAUCUGAUCAAGAAACAAAGUGAUAAGUGGCUACACUUAUCUGAUCAAGUGAUAAAGUGAUAAGUGGUAGCUUCAGCUACACUUAUCUGAUCAAGUGGUAAAGUGAUAAGUGGUAGCCUAGCUACACUUAUCUGAUCAAGGACAAGUGAUAAGAGGUCAUAUGGCAAAGUGAAAGUGAAGUACUCAAAUUUCCAUAACCGUUCCUUAAUUUUGAUCAAGGAUGGUAAGUGACAAAUGGGCCCAAAUGAAUUAUGGUAAAAGAAUAAGUAGUAGUGAGUUUAUACCAAGGAACUCACCAAAGAUUGUGGUUGACAGGUAAAUUUAGUAAUGGUGUAUAUUGUAUAAGUGUACAAGUGUUUGGUAAGAUUUAUGUUUUAUGCCUAUGAACUUACUAAGCUUUUCUAUAAGCUUACAUGUGUGUGUUUAUUAUUUUUGUAGAUUAACGUAUUUAUACAUUCAGAGGAUCGGAUCUACAUCAAGAAUCACACUAUCCAGAUAUACUCCGGUAGUUUAUGUUAAGCAACUUUUUGGAUUUAUAUGGCAUGUAUAGGGAAUUGAAGUAAAAAGUAAAUUUGAAUGUUAUGGUUGCGUUAGAUAUCGAAAUAUAUACAUGUUUUUAGUUUGAAAUGGUUGAUUGGUUGAACUUCAUUAGUAUUUAAAUGAAGUAGAUGAAAUACUGGAAUUGGUUGUGAUUUGAAAUUUGCAGGGAAGGUUAGACAAUUAUAAAGGGGUUAUAUUGAAUUUUUUAAAAAUUGCAAUGGAGCAGUUCUUGGACAGCAGCAUUGAUGUAACUUUUAAAAAUCACCAAAAAUAGUGGAAAUAGAAUUAGAAAUUGAGUGAGAUAUGAAAUUAAAGCUGAAGAGUCUACUUUUAUAGGAAAGAAGUGGAAUAAGAAAAAGAAUUAUAUACUUUUAGAUAUUUGAAUUUUAGUGAAACAGGGCAAGAAUGUUUUUGAAGUCCCCUGUCCUGACUUUAGAAAUUCAUUAAAAAUUGUACAGAAGGAAUUAUGAGUUAUAAUUUAUAUGUAUAGAUUCCUUAAUGAGUAUAAUUUCAGUAGAAAUAAGUUUAAUCACCAUAUGAAGCCUUUAAUAAGAGAUAAUUAAAUUUUAGUGAUGAGUGGUCAGGAUAGUCGAUUAGUGAAACAGGGGAGACUUCAACUAAUAAACUGUACUAAUUGGCUAAAGAAAAAAUUCUGAAAAUUUUAUGGUGAAUAGAUAUAUGAGUCUAGUUUUAGGGAAAAUUUACGGAUCUAAAUUUCGAGUUUCGUACCUUGAAUUAUAAUUAUUUUAGUGACUGAUGUACAGGUGGAUAGCUUUAUUAUGAAUGAUGAAAUUAAAUUUGAAAGGAAAUUUUUAUGCCCCAAACUUUUAAGUUAAGUCAAGUAACGCCUCAUGCUCGACUCCGGCCAUGGUCUCGGGUAAGGGGUGUUACAGUGUUGCCCAGUAGAAGUCCUGAUAGAUGUUCGGUAAGCAAGAAGAGCGAAAGCUAACUUCUCAUGCCAAUCUUUGUAAGUUUCAGCCAUUUUCGCCACUAUUUUCUUGAUAUUUUUAUUCGCCGUUUCCACUGCACCAUUCAUUUUCGGGCGAUACGGUAAUGAAUUAUGGUGUCUAAUGUUCAACUGAUCACAGACCUCCGCUAUUGUGCUAUUAUUCAAAUUCAAUGCAUUGUCGGAUAUGAUCCUUUCAGGCAUUCCAUAUCUACAUAUGAUCUCCUUCUUCAAAAACUUACUGACUGCUGACAUCGUGACAUUAGCAUAUGAGGCUGCUUCUACCCACUUAGUGAAAUAGUCAAUAACCACAAAAAUGAAACGAUGUCCAUUAGAAGCCUUCGGUGAUAUUGGUCCAAUGACGUCCAUACCCCAUAUGGAAAAAGGCCAUGGAGAAGUCAUGACGUGAAGAGGAGAAGGAGGCGCGUGCAUUUUAUCCCCAUAAAUUUGGCAUUUACGGCAUUUCUUAGCAUGAUUGAUGCAAUCUCCCUCCAUGGUGGACCAGUAAUACCCGAAUCUUAUAAUCUGUCUAGCCAUGGUGAAUCCAUUAGCGUGUAUUCCAUAAACGCCCUCAUGGACUUCUUCCAAAUUUUCUUUAGCCUCUACAGCGUCCACGCAUCUCAACAGUACUCGAUCCUUUCCCCUUUCGUAUAGGAUCUCCCCAUCUAAGACAUAGUCAAUAGCUAGCCUCCUCAAUGUCCUCUUAUCAUUCUCCGUUGCCUGAUCAGGAUAUUCGCGAUUCUUCACAUAUUGCAAUAUAUCUUGGUACCAGGGAUGAUUAUCAUUCUCUGCCUCCUCAAUGCUGUAACAGUGGGCUGGGAUCUCAUAAAUACUAAUUUGAAUAGGCUUCAUGUCAUCUAAUUGAUUCACUUUAAUCAUGGAAGCUAAAGUAGCAAGAGCAUCCGCCAUUUGAUUUUCUUCUCGUGGGAGAUAACAGAAGGUAAUGUUGUCAAACUCUUCGAUCAAUCCCAAAACCAAUCUCCGGUAACGGAUCAAUUUAGGAUCUCUCGUCUCCCAUUCCCCUCUUAGCUGGUAUAUUACCAAUGCUGAGUCUCCGUAUACCUCUAAUGUCUUGAUUUUUUGCUCUAUGACUGCCCGUAGACCCAUGAUGCGAGCUUCAUAUUCUGCCAUGUUAUUAGUGCAAUCAAAGUCUAAUUUACUGGUGAAAGGAUGAUAAUCUCCAUUCGGAGACACCAGGACUGUCCCAAUCCCAUUGCCUAAUGCAUUCGAUGCUCCGUCAAAGUUUAAUCUCUAAGAAUGAUGAUCCUCUUCAGCAUUUGCCACAUACAUUAAAUCCUCAUUCGGGAAAUCAAAGUCUAGAGGCUUAUAAUCUUCCAGAGCCCUGCUAGCCAAGAAAUCUACUAUCGCACUUCCCUUGAUGGCCUUCUGACUUACAUAUACAAUAUCAAACUCAGAGAGCAAGAUUUUCCAUCUAGCUAUUCUUCCAUUCAAUGUUGUUGACUCCAUCAUAUACUUUAAAGGAUCUAAUUUUAAAAUUAGCCAAGUCGUAUGACAGAGUAAGUAUUGCCUCAACCUCUUGGUCGUCCAAAUCAAGGCGCAACACAAUUUUUCGAUAGGCGAAUAUCUCAUCUCACAAUCAGUGAAUUUCUUGCUAAGAUAGUAAAUCGCCUUUUCCUUCUUUCCAGUCGCAUCAUGUUGACCCAGCACGCAUCCCAUAGAGUUUUUGAACACUGUUAAAUACAAAAUAAAAGGUCUAUCUGGCUUGGGUGAUGACAGAACUGGGGUAUUGGAUAAGUAUUGCUUUAUCUUUUCAAAGGCUUUUUGACACUCUUCAUUCCAAACGCCAGGAUUAUGUUUCUUCAAAAGGCGAAAUAUGGGAUCAUAUUUUUUGGUCAACUAUAAAAUGAACCGAGCAAUGUAAUUCAGUCUUCCCAAGAAACCCCGAACUUCUUUCUGGAUACGUGGUGGCGAUAAAUUUCGUAUUACUUUGACUUUGUCUGGAUCGAUCUCAAUUCCCUUUUCGCUGACUAUGAAGCCUAACAGCUUUCCUGAUCUAGCUCCAAAUGUGCACUUUGUCGGAUUAAGCUUGAGCUGGAACUUCCUUAAUCUUAAGAACAAUCUUCUCAGGACCUGCACAUGUUCCUCCUCUAUUCUGGAUUUGGCAAUCAUAUCAUCAACAUACACCUCGAUUUCUUUGUGCAUCAUGUCAUGGAACAAGGCUACCAUGGCUCUCUGAUAUGUUGCUCCCGCGUUCUUUAAUCCAAAUGGCAUCACCUUAUAGCAAAACGUUCCCCAUAAAGUAAUGAACGUAGUCUUUUCUAUAUCUUCUAGAUGCAUCUUUAUCUGAUUAUAUCCUGAGAACCCAUCCAUAAAAGAAAACAACGAAAAUCCCGUCGUAUUAUCCACUAGCGUAUCAACAUGUGGCAAUGGAAAGUUGUCCUUUGGGCUUGCUUUGUUCAAAUCCCUGUAAUCGAUGCACAUUCGUACUUUUCCAUCUUUCUUAGGGACUGGGACUAUAUUAGCUACCCAUUCAGAAUAUUUGACCUCAUGUAAAAAACCAGUAUCAAACUGUUUCUUAACCUCCUCUUUGAUUUUGAGCACAAUGUCAGUCUCAUUCUUCUGAGCUUCUGUUGAACUGGUUCGCAAUCCUCUUUUAUGGGUAAGGGAUGCACUACAAUGUCAGCACUUAAUCCAGGCAUAUCCUGGUAUGACCAUGCGAAGACAUCUUUAAAUUCAUGGAGUAAUUCAAUGAGGUCUCGUCUUGUCUUUGUGAGAAUUUCAGUUCCAAUUUUCACCUCCUUUCCUUCUUCUAGGCUCACAACUUCUACUAACUCUUUGUGAGGUAGGAUUUGCUUUUCCUCUUGUUCCACCAUCUCAACAAGUCCAAAGAUAAACCACCCUCUUCAUCACCUUCAAAGUCAUGCGAUCCUUCUAAACACACGUUUCGUUCAAAAGGGUACUCUGAGCUCGUAGCAGUGUCAUUCACGUCAUUGAUACACAGAGACCUAUUAUGGUUACAAUUAUUUAUGUAAUGAAAGAAUAUAUUUAGGCAUAUGAAAGAAUGAAAGAAUAUUUACUCGAAACAAUUGCAAAGAUGGAUUUUAUUAAAAUAAUGAUUUUUAAACAUAAGCCUAUUUCACAAAAGAAUUCUUGCUAUUUUUUAGGCUAAAACAACAAGCUUGUUCUUGAAUAUUACUCUGAGACAGUUCUAAAGACUUUAGGUAUUUCUUCCGCAGUCCAAUUGUCUAGAAUACUCCCAGGCUCAUAAGGACGAAUGUCCAGGCAACCUCUCUCUUCAUUCCCAAGCUCAUGAAUGGCAUUAAUGUGCAUAUUUCCCAACGUCUCCUCGAUGCUUUCCUCAACUGAUUUCUUCCUCUCCUAAUGAAUGAUUCCUCCAGAUACGAAAGUUUUGGAUAUGUGGGGGAUUAUCAUUGGCUCCCACUUAGCUUCCUCCCCAUUCAAACGCACCCUUCUUCUUUCCUGCCUUUUCUCUAUCUCCUUCCUUCUUUGUCCUCAUCUGGCCUGUAUCUUAAACCAAAAUUAUCUUGCUUUUCUUUCUAUACUGGGACCUCAGUUCUCCCUUGAAGAUAUCUCCCUAGCCCUCUUCCGGGUAAAGCUCAUUUUCCCACCAACAAUUGUAAACCCAUCUCUGUGGUUUUGGAUAAUUUUGGAACCAAAAUUUUGCUCUUUUCAGGAACAAAUGUCGCAUUUACAAACUCCAAAGAUCGAAAUGAGCAUUCAACCGACUCGUCAUUGGUUUCCAUGUAUGGUAUCUCAUUGGAUACAGCUGCAAUUAUAUCUUCUUCGACUUUUAUUGUCACUAGCCGUCCAUCUGACAUUAACUUCAACAUUUGAUGUAAUGAUGACGGAAUUGCCCCUGCCAAAUGUAUCCAUGGUCUUCCUAAUAAGCAGUUAUAGGAAGGUUUGAUGUCCAUCACAAUAAAAUCUACCUCAUAAACUGUUAGGCCAAUCAGUAAGGGUACCUCAAUUCUUCCCAUGACCUUCUUUUCUGUACUGUCAAAUGCCCUCACUAUAUUUUGACAUGUUUUCAUAUGCGAACUGUCUAUGGGUAGCCUGUUAAGUGUGAAUAACGGCAAUACGUUCAAAGCUGAUCCAUUGUCGAUCAGUACUCCUAGCAAAAUACGCCCCUUGCAUCGUGCAGUGAUAUGCAAAGCUUUAGUAGAUCCCAUGCCCCCAGAAGGUAUUUCAUCAUCAUUAAAAAAUAUGAAAUUAUCAGCACUGAUAUUAUUGACCAACUGAUCUAGCUUACUGACAGAAAUAUCCUUGGACACAUAGGUCUCAUUUAGCAUCUUCAUCAACGUAUUUCGAUGCACUUCUGAAUUCAAGAGUAAGGACAGUACAGAUAUGCGGGCCGGUUGUUUGUGCAACUGCUCAACGAUAUUAUACUCACUAUGUUUUAAAAUUUUGAGGAAUUCCACAGCUUCUUUCUCCUUCACUGGCUCAACUACUUUCCCUUUUUGCUCCUCUAUUAUAGCCUCUUUCAUAGACUCUGGAUUGGUACUCACACACUGGCUCUUUGCCGCCUCACUUCCUGGGACAGUCGUAUUACACUCGUUGUUCCAUGGGACCUUCUUACUGUCUUGGUAAGGAAAUGUUGCAAGUUUCUUUAUAAUAAUCUUUGGCAUUGUUGGUGCUCUCACCUUAUCCUUCUUGGGUCGCGAGAUAAUGACCACAGGUUGCACUAUUCUUGGAACCUUCGAAGCCUCUGAUGUACAAAUGCUCCCCACCUCCUUAACUUCUUCAUAAAAUUCCAUCUCCUUGUUAUCCAUCAGGUCUUGAACCAAGGCUCUAAAUUCUGUGCAUUCCUGGAUUUUAUGUCCCUCAUCGUGAUGGAACUCACAGUAAUUUUCCACCCUUUCGAAGCAUUUCUCUAAAUCCGGGAUGAUCAAUCCUCUUUUCACCAUAUUUUUCCAGACCCACCUCAAAGGAAUUUUCACCUCUGAUAUGUCUUCAUUGAUCUUUCUACCCAUGCUCCCACCUAUCACGUUUACUCCGUUAUGAUCAGCUAACGGAUUUUCUGUAUUGGGUGAAUUAUCCAAUUUUACCAUGCCCAAGCUUAUAAGUCUUUCCACCACCUUUUUGAACGUCGUACAAUGCUCUAUAGAAUGCCCCUCAAUUCCCGCGUGAUAGUCGCACCGUGCAUUUGCAUCGUACCACUUGGGGUAUGGAGGCUGCAGUGGUUUCAAAUGGAAAGGGGCAACCACGUGUGCAUUGAAUAGAUUCUGAUAUAGCUCCCUAUACGUCAUUGGAAUUGGUGUAAAUUACAUUUUCUCUGUAUUUUGUCUUGUAUCAGAUCUCUGCUUCGAUGAUCCAUGCUGAUUAACAGCCACUUUUCCCGGUUGAUUCACUGUAACUGUCUUCGAAUAUGAACUCGUGUUGUUAACCUCGUUCUCUUUCUUCUUCGAGGCCGUCUUUCUGCUACUUUCUCCAGCAUCUAUUUUCCCACUUUUGAUAGCAUUUUCUAUCAUCUCGCCAUCCAUAACUAUGUCGGAAAAACUUUUAAUAGCGCUUCCUAACAUGUGUGUAAUAAAUUGUGCCUUCAAUGUGUUGACGAAAAGCAUCGUCAUUUCUCUUUCUAGAAGAGAUGGCUGAACUUGGACAGCAACCUCCCUCCAUCUCUGUGCGUACUGCCUGAAACUUUCACCAAGAUUCUUCUCCAUGUUCUGCAGAGUAAUUCUAUCAGGUACCAUGUCAGUCACAUGGCUGUACUGUUUUAAAAAUGCCUGUGCUAGAUCUCUCCAUGAAUUAAUCUGAUUACGGCUCAGUUGAUUGUACCAUUUGGACGCAGCCCCUGUGAGGCUAUCUUGGAAGCAAUGUAUCAGCAACUGGUCAUUAUUAGCAUAUCCAGUCAUCCUCCUGCAGAACAUAGUAAUAUGUGCUUCGGGGCUACUAGUCCCGUUGUACUUCUCGAACUCUAGCAUUUUGAAUUUGUGAGGAAGUACCAGACCUGGAACCAAGCUCAAUUCUCUAGCAUCAAUUCCAUGGUAGAUCUCAGUACUUUCUAUCGCUUUAAGUUUUUCCUUCAGCCAUUUAUACUUUUCCUCGAACUGUUUUGAUAAUUCAUCAUUCAUUUUUUCUUUUCCAACCGUCUCAUCAAAAUCAGGAAUAGCAGGAUUAAUGAAAUUGGCACCGGGGUUAGAGCCUGAUCCCAUCUGGAAAUUCAUUUGUGUUGCAGUAUCACUCGGAGGAUUAAUGGUAAUAGAGGACCUACGCGGGUACAUCUCAACUUGUUGAGGUGUAAAGUCCGGAGGAUAGACAAAUCCCUCAUUGUCUCCUUCUUCAAUAUUGAGCACAGAACCCUUUCCUUUAUCAGUUCCUUUAUUGAACCACUAAGUUAACUGAGCCAUCAUACUCCCUUGAGACUCCAUCAUUUUGUCUAUCAUCUUUUGCUGCUCAUUCAUUUGCUUUUGAAGCAGCUCCUGCAUUUCCUUUUGGGUUUGUUCUAAUCUUUCCAUUCUUUGAUCCAUAUCAUUGGUUUUUGAUCGAGUACCGUAGUGAUGCUUGGUAGGUUGGUUGGUUUCCAGAUUAGCUGAAGAGUGAUUUAGAUUAAUUAGAAUCCCUUAAUGUAUUUAUUAAUGCAUAUGAAAUAAUGCAAUGCAUGAAUGCAGAAAGGCGUCAAUUUGAAUUCAAUUCCAUAUAAGAAAACUCUAUUAGAAAUUAAAUUCCUUUACAUAAAAUGAAUUACAAAUACGACUUUGCCCUAGUACCCAGAACUCUAAUCUUUCUAAGUAACAAAGCUAAUUAUUGCCCCCGAUCCGAUUCCAAUUCAUACUUCACACUCAGCGUGUCAGGCUAUACUGCUAAAGUCUGUAUAUGGCCAGCUACUUCUCGAAUCUGAACCACAGCUACCUCGAUAAGAUGAUCUCUGCUUCUAACUUGACUCUAAAAAUGGUGAAGUUGUUCAUUAUUACGACUUUCAUUUGCUUUCAAGUGCUUGAUCUGAAUCUCACAAUUUUGCAGCGCCAUUUCUAGCUCUUCGAUUCUUUGCUUCAUUUCAUCAAUCUUGCUUAAGCUUUCUUUUAACUCUAUCGUAGAGUUUCGGCUUCGAUACUGACGAAGUGAUCUUUCCAAUACAAUCACCCUAUCCUUUCACUCACCAUUUUCCUUCUGGCUUUCUGACAAACUCUUUUCUAAGGCCUCAUUUCGCCUUUGCAUAUCUUGAAAUCUCUGUUCCCACUUACCGGCCUUGUCCUUUUCUUCUCAGAUUUCUACUCGCCACUGUUCUGACGUCUUUCCCAACCCAACAGUUCUUAUUGACAAACGCAGCUUUUUAUAAUCCGUCUUUAGACUGCCCAGUUCCUCAUCAGCCUUGUUUUUCUCUUUCUUCAACCUCUCAUUCUCAAGCCUCUGAACGUCUAUGUCCAAUCUCAAGUUCGUCUUUUUCACCUCCAUUUGCUCUAUCCUUUUCUCCAAGUCCGCGUUCUUCCUCUUAAAAUCUUGUCUUACAAUUUCCAACUCAGAAGGAAUGACUCGCAAAUGCUCUUCUAUUGACUGGCUUUCUUCCUGAUUUAACCUGGGUGUAUUAUCGUUUAUCCUUCUAGCCCACCAUUGAUGAUACUCAGGAGUUGUCAUUGGACCCACAGCUAGCUUCUUCAUUCGGCGAGUUUGCUUCCACGCAUUAGCCAUCUCUUGAAUCUUCUUUCUAUAACCAUCAUCCUUGUACGAAAAUUCACAAUCAGUUAUCCCUUGGGUCGCAGGUAUAAAUUGCCUUGACCUAUAUUGCCUUAGCACCAAUAAUAGGGCGUAUCCAGUAGCUCCCCAAACCCCUAGCAAAGGAACCCAAUCAAAAGUAUCACACCUAUACAGGAUCUCAUCUGGAAGUAACCAAUGAGCUCUCCAUUCAAUGUCUUCCUCUCGAAGAUUUUAAAGAAUUGCUAUCCACUUCUCCUUCGAAAUGUCGUCUCUUCUGGGCGUAGCGACUAUCUCCUUUAGUGGUGAAUAAUUUUCAGAGAAAACCCGAUACGACACUUUAUCCACCUUCCAAAAGUGACUAUGAAACCACGAGAGUAGAAGCUGUACACAUCCAAUAAAUCUCCCUUCACCCGUCUUCCGGCAUGCACUCAAUGACCUGAAAGUCUCUGCCAAAAUUGCUGGAAUUAGUGUAACUUUCUUAUCGAGCCGGUCGAAUAAAUCAGUGACUGUUUCAUCCACAUACCCCAAGGCUUUAGGGAAAACAACCAAGCCGUAUAUACUUAAAGCAAAAACAUCUAACCUUUUCCUGACAUCUGGGUGCGUGAGGAUUGCAUCUUUCAAGCCUUUCCAAGGAACGCACUUACUGUCCCCCUUUUGCUUAAUUCGUGCGACAACCCACUGCUCACUCAUUCCUAUUACACUCAUCAGCUUCUUGGAAAAGGUUGGCACAUUUACCGCUCUCGAAUAGACCCUGUCCACUUGAAACUUUGAACAACGGAGUAAAGCCAUAUACUCAUCUAUCGUAGGCACUAAAUCGACCGUCCCGAACGUAAAGCAGCUGUAAGCAGGAUUCCAGAAUUGGGCGAGGGCUUGAAACAAAUGCUUGUUUACCUUUACAUCAAGCAAAUAAGGCAGAUCUCCAUAAUUAUCAUAAAAGAGCUGUCUAACCUCAUCACUCCACUGACCCCAGAUUUCCUUCAAUUCUUGCAAAUUGUUUUGAGUUGCACUGAUAUGUGUAAAGUCCCAUAACUCCGAUACAUGCCCAUCAGCCAAACUAUCCCCCUUUUCUUGCUGCGUUGUUUCAGACCAAGUUCGAACAGCCGCAUUGUCUUCCACUUUAUCAAGAAACCCGCUUUCCAUGAUAAGUCUUCUAUCUAGCAACUGAAUUUGAAUUGACGCCUUUUAUGAUGAGAUGAAAUGAAAUGUCAUGUCAUGCAAAUAAAACACCAAAAGUCAGUAUAACAUAGAAACACAAGAUAUAAUCAAGAAAUAAUAAAGAUCCCUAAUUGGAUAUCUACUAGGGUUUAGUAUAAUUCUACCUAAGGUGGAUUCCUAAGGUUCAUUAUAUGAAGUUUGGCUUCAAGAGUAAAGGUACCCGAACCAGCAGAUUCCUCAAUCCUCACCCAUUAUAGGCUCAUAUGGACCGAGUUCAGUUCAGGGGAAUACAUUUCCCUAUGGCUGCAUGGAGAUGAAAAAUCUCACGAAGACAUAGGUACGAAUGUAUCCCGAAAGCAAUCCACUACCCUACACGAAGGUAAAAACCUCACGAAGGCAUAAUUUUUCACUCCCACUUAAAAGGGUAACAUUGUUCAACUUAUGAAAUGUAUAAUGCAAACAAUGUUUGAACAAGAAGAUAAUGAAUGCAAAAGGAUGUCAUGAGUUUUUUUAAAAAAUAUUUUCUCGACCAUAAGAAAAAAAUUAAUCAACUUUGUGGCUCGACUCUCUUAUUUUAAAAAAAGUCCCCAGUGGAGUCGCCAAGCUGUCAAAACCAUUUUUGAAAAAAUAAUGAUUUUAGGUUGUCAACUUUGAAAAAAAUGAAAAUUUGGGAGUCGCCACCAAUCUUUUAUUGAGGUGUGAUUGGAUCACCUAAAAAAUGGCUUUGGUCUACGAGUUUUAGAAAAACGGAUCCGGGAGUCAGUUACGUACGAGGAAGGAUUAGCACCCUCGUAACGCCCAAAAUUGGUACCUAGUUAAUUAAUUAGUGUCUAAAGGUCGAAAAUUUUAAACAUAUAAUCUUUAAAAACUUAAAACGUUACGUAUUAAGACCCUUCUCAAUUCAGAGAAGCAAAAAUGCCACACCCAAUGCGUUAGGGCACAACAUUCUAAUUUCCUCCAAAAUGAGUUAGGUCAAAAUACUCGUAUAAUGAAAAACUUUAAAGGAACAUCCACUUAUCCAAGAUUUAAGAAAUCACACCCAAUACGUUAGGGCACAAUUCCUUUAAAAUCCCAAACUCGAAAAAUUUCCUUUAUGAUUUUUAAAAAAAUAUUAUUUCGAGAAAUCAAUGCGUCACACCCAAUAUGUUAGGACACAACGUGUUGAAUUCCCAAUAAUGAGCUCUUAUUUUGUUUAAAAGAAUCUCCAUUUUGAAAAAAGUUUGAUUUAAAAAAAUUAAAAAAAUGUAAUGUUAUGCUACAUUAAAUAUAUAAUGCAAUAAUAAAUACUAAGAUAGCAUAGAAAUAAUGCAAAUAUAUGAACAAAUAAAUAACGAAUGACAUAUAAUAUAUUAAAUAAAUGAGCAAUAUAAACAUAAUAAAUGAAAUUACGAAGAAUUAGAGGCAUACAUAUGAAUUUUCAUGUAAAACUUUAAUUUAUAAAAUUUAUAAUGUACUUAUGAGAACAUAAAAAAAAUAAAAAUUAAAUGAUGUCAACAUUAUUAAAAUCCAAAAAAAUAUGUAUACAUAUAAAUGUGAAUAAAACCUUAGUUUUAAAAAUAUAAAUGCGUAUACAAAAAACAUAUACAUGUGUUUUUUCAAAAUAAUUUAAAAAAUAAAAAACAAUUACAUUGUUAAAAUUAAUUAAGAAAAUAAUAAGAAAAACCAAAUUGAAUAGCAAUUGAAAAAUUUCGGGGCAAAUUCGCGAAUAAAUGAAACCCCAGGGACUAAUUCGAACACGCGAAUUACAUAGAGGGGCUGGAAGGGAAAUUUUCCCCUCUCCUCUAAAACGGCGCCGUUCGAACGGAUUAAAUCGGAAUUUAAAAUAAAUUAAAGGUCAGAUUUAAAAAAUAAAAAAACUAAUUGAAAGUAUAUUAAAAGGCGGAGGGGCUAAAAAUGCAAUUUACCCCUCCGCUAAAAAACACGCGGAUCCUAGGCUGGGUCGGGUCAGGUCGGAGUCGGGUCGGCCUCCCCAAAACGAAGCCAUUUUAGGCAUCUGGGGGCUCUCCAAAACGGCACCGUUUUGGUACCUUAUAUAAGCCUCCAACAUCUCAAAAAAAAAAUCAUUUUCAAAAUCAAAAUAAAUAAAUAAAUAAACAAAAAAACCCUUUGAAAUUUUCUCCCCUCGGUCUGCCCUCCGACUAUAGGUCGGUCAUCGGUCAGUCGCUGGCCACCGCGCCGGCCGCCAAUCUCCGGCGCCGGCACUGCCGUCUGCGGUGGCCGGAGGGGGAAAAAUUUCCAGGUUUGACCUUUUAACCCCCUGAGUCUAAAUCCGGGCUCAAAUCGCACAAAACACCAACGAAAGUGCCCCUAAAAGCAACGAAACCUUUCGGCUUCCGGUCGUCUUUCAUCGGAGUCGACACCCUCAGCCAUCCACGGCGGUCUAGAGCUCAAAAAGGAGGUUGUAUCUCUCUUUUCCUUCUUUAUUAACAGUAUAUAAACGAAUAAUAAAUAACAGAAUGUAAAAACAACCUUUGAUUUUUACUGUAUCUCUGUUUGUGCUGUAAAACGUGUUUUUAUUAUUGAUUUCCAAAAAAUCAUCAUUUUUACAGUCUUAACAAUGGCUUUAUAUAGCCAUAUGAAAAAGAAGAAAAGAAGAAACAAUAUCUAUUUUCUUUUGAUUUGAUUUGCAAAUCUCUGAUUUCAUUUUCCAUAUACUGUUUAUUUCCUUUCCUUAUUGUGCAGGUGAAGAUCGGGGCUGAGAUUCGUGGCUGCGGCGCUUGAGGAUUUCCCUAGAAUCCAUAGGGUUUCUGACUAACGUUUUGGGCACUUUGGGCUACACAUAAUUGGGCCACCAUGCCUUGGGCCCCUGCUAUAUUUUGGAUUCGUGCCAUAUAGGCCAAUGUAAUUUGAGCCCUUUUAGGCCCGGGCAAAAUCUGUUAUUACAAUGCACAUAACAAAUUUUCCUUAUAAAUUUCUUUUAAACCUUUUCGUUCACAUUUUCCUGUAACCAAGCCCCUUCUUUACUCGAAUCAAAAUAAAUAACAUAAAAUUUAUUUUUUACGUUUCCUGUUAUCUCCUUGAUUCAGACAGUUUUAAUAAUAAAAGAGUGCAAUUAAAAUGUUUGGAGUUUAAAACUAAUUUUAAAUGAAGGUACUUUGAUGUAGUUUACCAAAAAUAGAAUGAUAUUGCUUACGUCACGGCUCUGCCCAAUUCGGAUCAUUGUCAUAAACCUUAUCUCCUAACGGAUCAGUUCAUUAUCAUUUUUUAUUAUAAAAAAUAAUUUAUUUAAUUGGCCAAUUAAAAGUCUCCACGUCACCAGAACACAUCUUCCCAUGCAUCGGUGCUCACACUACACACUUGUCUAAUACCCAACGGAAUUCAACAAAAUGGACACGUCAUUAAUAAUUAUCCCCCAAAUAAACCAGCACCUCAAAACCAUCGCCCAUGGAAUAUAAUACCCCAUCGAUAUUCCCUUUUCUUCUUCAAUCUCAACAGCAACACCAACACCCCACCCGACCCCUAAAAAUGGUCCAGACAAACCAGUCCGGUUCCGGCAAUGAUUUCAAGCUCGUCGGAUUCUCGAAUUUCGUCCGGUCCAAUCCGAAAUCCGAUCGGUUCACCGUCAAACGUUUCCACCACAUCGAGUUUUGGUGUACCGACGCCACUAACGUCGCUCGCCGUUUUUCAUGGGGUCUCGGUAUGCAAUUUGUAGCUAAAUCGGAUUUAUCCACCGGAAAUUUGACCCAUUCUUCUUAUCUCCUCCGUUCCGG